rnacentral:lncRNA from 1 species
UUUUUUUUUUGGGGUGUCCGAUAUCCGUAUUGGAGUUCGACUAAUCUGAAUUCAUGUCGGGUAGGACCUCAUUUGAGGGAUAACGCUUCCAACAGAGUUUUGUCUGUGCCCAAAGUCGAACUCUCGACCUCUGAUUAAGGGUAGAGCAACCCCAUCCGUUGCACCAUAACCCAUAUUGAUUACUGGAGGCUUUAUUAAUGGAUGGGAUAAAAUACACUUAUUAAAGGAUGCGUGUGGCAUAAUAACUUCCAAGUGACAAUUUUGUUUAACAAAAAGUUCAGAAAUAACAUAAGAAGAGUUUUAUGGUGUUAAAUUUAUUUUAAAAAGUAACUUUGUUUUGUCUAUUUUUGAUUUAAUACAUAAUUUUAAAGAGUAAAAAAAAAUUAAAUUAUGUGAUAUUAAAUUAAAAAUAAUAGAGUAUACCAAAUAUUCUUUGAUGUUGUAGUAUUAAAUAUUUUAUCAUAUAAGAAAAUAAAAUUAAUUACUAAAGAAAACGAAGAAUUCCUUUUAUAGUAAACAUCAUAAAACACACUAGUGUAGAUGCUGAGCACACCAAAAAAGAGGCCAGACAGAAAAAUUGAAACGAAGUACAUAAUUAUGUAUGCAACUCAUAUAUAUUAAUAAACUAGUUCGCUAUGCCGUACGUAGUACGGGCCAAUAUUGAUCAUUGAAAAUUUUAUAUUAUGUAUAAUUUUAUUAUUUAAUUAGAACCUUUAUUUAUGUCGUUGAUAAAUUUCUAAUUAGGCAUAUAUUAUUAUAUUUAGAUUAAUAAAAUUUAUAUAAGAAUAUUUUUAGUUGUUAACAUGAUAUUCAUAUAAUUUCGAGAAUCAAUCAAUCUUUUUAUUUUUAAAAUUUUUUUACAAUUAUUAAUUAUUGUGAUUUAUGUUACUUUUCACAUAAUAAUUAUCAGAUAUAUAAUAAAAUAUUUAAGUUUAUUAUUUUUAUUUGUAAUAUUUUUAAUAUAAUUUAGUAUGACAAAUAAGAUUUUUUUAUUAAAUAUUAUUAAUAUUAUUACUUUAAUACUUAGAUGACAUAUAAUAGUUGAUUAGGAGCGAUAUGAUAAAAUUACGGUUGAAGCUGCUCAAACAGACAUAUCAUAAAUAUCUAUUUUACCUUUUUUAAUAGAGAAAAGACAUUUUCCCCCCUGAACUUGUUCGCAUAACUUACUUUACUACUUAAACUUAACUUUUGUUUAUUUACCCCCUUUAACAUCUUUAAUUUCACCCCUCAAAAUUGAAUAUCACUCUCACAAUGGAGAGUGUGUUACACUCGCCUACAUAUCGUUUGAUUUUUCUAAAAAAGUUAAUCCCCCAUACAUUAUUUUUAUAUAUUUUAAAAUAUAUAUAUAUAACCCUAAAACUGGGAUAGAUCCAUGAGAAAUCUGAUUAGAUAGAUAUGGUAUAGAUCAAAAUGGGACACCAAAAGAAUUGACUGUUGAGUCGUAUGAAGUAAGAAAUUCUCAAGUACGGUUCUAAGAGAAAGAAUUGAACUACCUAUUCCGAACGGGGAGAACAGGCCAUUCAACAGGGAAAUUCUGAAAUUGCAGAGAUUUGGUUCGAUCAAGCCGCUAAGUAUUGGAAACAAGCUAUAGCGCUUACUCCCGGUAAUUAUAUUGAAGCGCAUAAUUGGUUGAAGAUCACGAGACGUUUCGAAUAAAAGAAGACCCCAUUUAUUUAUUAUCCUUUAUUUAGAAUUUAGAUAUUUGUUAUAAUUAAUUGUUUGUUGGACCCAUCAGAUCGUUAACUAAAAAAUGGAUGAUUCCUUUGCUUUUGGAAUACCCAAUCACAUAAUUUCAUUAUCUCCCUUCUAAGCAUUCUAUUUCACUUCUAUAUCCAUAUGCUAUCUUUUAGGAAUAAAAAAGAUUGAUAGAGGAUAAAAUAGACUUCUUUUUAUUCUAUUUAUUUAUAUUAAAUAUUAAAAUAAAAAAUUAAAUUAAAUUCUUAUUAGUUAUUAGUAUUAAAACUAAUAAAAGAAAUCCUUGAAUCACUAAAUAUAUAUAUACUGGGGAUGUCUCUUAGUAAUGUCUAAUGGCUACUAGCGUGAUUUGGAAUAUAGUAAUUACAAUCUUCUAGGUAAAAAAUUAAAGAGCUCCAUCUAAUAACUUCUAUGAAUAUACACUAGGUUGCAAAAAAAAGUCAUUUUGGGAUCAAUCCAAAGUCCAAAAAGAUUUUUAAAAGGUUAAAGGGUCCGUUGAGCGCCUCAAGGCUAUAUCAUAAUAGAUCUGAACACUUGCCCUGGAUCGACUUCUAGAUCAUAAUUUCUCUAGUAAAUAACUAAAGAAAAUAGAUAGACGAGAGAUAGAAAAAUAGAAGAGAAACGAACUAAUUAUAGAAAUAUCUCUCUAUCUCUAAGGUUCACUAAUUAUUUGAUUGUUGGUGGGUCUCUUUGUAUGUGUUGUCCGGAAAGAGGAGGACUCAAUGACUAUUCGUUGCCGGAACCAGAAGUUAAAAUUUUGAUAGAUAGGGAUCCCGUAAAAACUUUUUUCGAGGAAUGGGUCAGAUCGGGUCAUUUCUCAAGAACAAUAGCUAAAGGGUCUGAUACUAUCACUUGGAUCUGGAACCUACAUAUUAAUGCUCAUGAUUUCGAUAGUCAUACCAGUGAUUUGGAGGAGAUCUCUCGAAAAGUAUUUAGUGCACAUUUCGGUCAACUCUCCAUCUUCUUUCUUUGGCUGAGCGGGAUGUAUUUUCACAGUACUUAUUUUUCUAAUUAUGAAGCGUGGUUAAGUGAUCCAACUCACAUUGGGCCUAGUGCCCAGGUGGUUUGGCCAAUAGUGGGCCAAGAAAUAUUAAAUGGUGAUGUGGCGGGGGUUUUCAAGGAAUACAAAUAACCUCUGAUUUUUUUAGAUUUGGCGAGCAUCUGGAAUAACUAGUGAAUCACAACUCUAUUGUACAGCAAUUGAGGCGUUGGUCUUUGCAGCGUUAAUGAUUUUGGCUGGUUGGUUUCAUUCUCAUAAAGCGGCGCCAAAAUGGGCUUGGUUUCAAGAUGUAGAAUCCAUGCUGAAUUACCAUUUGACAGGGUUACUAGGACUUGGGUCUCUCUCUUGAGUGGGGCAUCAAGUACACGUAUCCUUACCGAUUAACCAAUUUUAAAACGCUGAAGUAGAUCAUAAAGAGAUACCACUUCCCCAUGAAUUUAUCUUGAAUUGAGAUCUUUUGGCUCAACUUUAUCCCAGUUUUACUGAGGGAGAAACCCCAUUUUUCACCUUGAAUUGGUCAAAAUAUGCGGACUUUCUUACUUUUCGUGGAGGAUUAGAUCCAGUAACUGGGGGUCUGUGGCUGACUGAUAUUGCCCACCACCAUUUAGCUAUUGCAAUUCUUUUUCUGACAGCGGGUCAUAUGUAUAAGACCAACUGAGUAUUGGUCAUGGACUAAAAGAUAUUUUAGAAGCCCAUAAAGGUCCAUUUACAGGUCAGGGCCAUAAAGGCCUAUAUGAGAUCCUAACAAUGUCAUGGCAUGCUCAAUUAUCUCUUAACUUAGCUAUGUUAGGCUUUUUAACCAUUGUUGUAGCUCAUCAUAUGUAUUCCAUGCCCCCUUAUCCAUAUCUAGCUACUGAUUAUGGUGCAUAACUGUUAUUGUUCACACAUCACAUAUGGAUUGGUGGAUUUCUCAUAGUUGGUGUUGCCGCGCAUGCAGUCAUUUUUAUGCUAAGAGAUUAUGAUCCAACUACUCGGUACAAUAAUAUCUCAUCUCAACUGGGCAUGUACUUGGUUUUCACAGUUUUGAUUUGUAUAUUCAUAAUGAUACCAUAAGUGCUUUAGGGCGUUCUCAAGAUAUGUUUUCAGAUACCGCUAUACAAUUACAAUUCGUUUUUGCUCAAUGGAUACAAAACAUCUAUGCUUUAGCACCUGGUGAAACGACUCCUGGUGGCUCCUGGUACAACAACAAACACCAUUUUAACUUGGGGGUGGUGAUUUAGUUGUAGUGGGUGGCAAGGUGGCUUUGUUGCCUAUUCCAUUAGGAACCGUCAAUUUCUUGGUACAUCGUAUUCAUGCAUUUAUGAUUCAUGUGACGGUAUUGAUACUCUUGAAAGGUAUUCUAUUUGCUCGCAGUUCUCGUUUGAUAUCGGAUAAGGUAAAUCUUGAUUUUUAUUUUCCUUGUGAUGGACCUGAAAAAGGGGGUACAUGUCAAGUAUCGGCCUGGGAUCAUGUGUUCUUAGGACUAUUCUGGAUGUACAAUUUAAUUUCGGUAGUAAUAUUCUAUUUCAGUUGGAAAAUGCAGUCAGAUGUUUGGGGUAGUGUAAGUGAUCAAGGGGUAGUAACUCAUAUCACAGGAGAAAACUUGGCGCAGAGUUCUAUUACUAUUAAUGGGUGGCUCCGCGAUUUGUUAUGGGCACAGGCACCCAGGUAAUUCAGUCUUAUGGUUUUUCACUAUCUGCAUAUGGCCUUUUUUUCCUAGGCGCUCAUUUUGUCUGGGCUUUUAGUUUAAUGUUUCUAUUCAGUGGACGUGGUUAUUGGCAAAAACUUAUUGAAUCCAUCGUUUGGGCUCAUAAUAAAUUAAAAGUUGUUCCUACUACUCAGCCGAGAGCCUUGAGCAUUAUACAAGGACGUGCUGUAGGAGUAACCCAUUACCUUCUAGGUGGAAUUGCCACAACAUGGGCAUUCUUCUUAGCAAGAAUUAUUGCAGUAGGAUAAUGGCUAGUAGGAUUUGAAAAGCAUUAUAGCAUUACGAUUUCCAAGGUUUAGCAAGGCUUAGCUCAGGACCCCACUACUCGUCAUAUUUGGUUUGGUAUUGCUAUAUAUAUUUAUUUAUAUAUAUUAAAUAAAAAAAGUCACCUCCACCCCCAUUUUCUUUCUUCUUCACAACCCCCUACCUACCCCGCCCCUACCCUGCAAACGCAGCCCCCCAACUUUCUAUCUUCUUCAAACCACCCCACCUCUCCCUUCUCCUCAAUUUUCUAUCAUUUUCAAACUGAAAGUAUAUUACCAAUAGCCAUUGUUGUUGUCCAUUAAGCAAAAAGAAAGUACCAAUUAUUCCUUCAUCAAACCACCAAUUCAAGAAACAACAAUGCAAUAGUAUCACCACGUCCCAAUUCAAAAUUCUUCAUUCCGACAUAUUCCGGCAAAACUCACCGAAAAAUGAUUAAAACAAACCCACAAAAAAUUAUAUGCACAAAAUUAACACCACCACCACCACCAUUAACAGUACCACUGACACUAAUAUUUUUUCUUCAAUUUCAAUUUUAUUUAAAAUUUUCAAAUUUAUAAAGAUAACUCUUAAUUUUGAAAAUUCAAUUUCAUUCUUUUCUAAUGAUCUUAAGUCAAGAGGUUUAAGAAUGAGAAAUUGAAGAUGUGGGUGAAGGAUUUGGUAAUUGAAGGAGAAGAAAUUGAGUGUUUNNNNNNNNNNNNNNNNNNNNNNNNNNNNNNNNNNNNNNNNNNNNNNNNNNNNNNNNNNNNNNNNNNNNNNNNNNNNNNNNNNNNNNNNNNNNNNNNNNNNNNNNNNNNNNNNNNNNNNNNNNNNNNNNNNNNNNNNNNNNNNNNNNNNNNNNNNNNNNNNNNNNNNNNNNNNNNNNNNNNNNNNNNNNNNNNNNNNNNNNNNNNNNNNNNNNNNNNNNNNNNNNNNNNNNNNNNNNNUAUAAUAUAAAUAUAAAAUAUAUUAAAAGUGUGAAGACUCUUAGAAAAGUGAUUUGAACUUUUUGCCCUUCAUUAAAAUAUAAUGCAAUAGACAAAAUCGUAUUUUUACUUUUUAAAAUUAUUAAUUAAGUAUAUUUAUUAUAUUUUAAAGUAAAGAAUCUCAAUCAUAUGGUAAGUUUUACAAAUUAAAGAGUACUUAAGUAUAUGGUAUGAAUUACUAAGAAAAUUAAUAUUUAUAGAUUUCUAAAAUAUACUAUAAGAGGAGGAGAGAAAAUUAAAACUACUACAUUUUUCGGCUUAAAAAGAAAUAAACAAAUACAUUUUUUUUCCAGGCAAAACAAGAAAUACAUGUUAAUGCCUAACUUCCUAUUAAAGAAAAGCUAAAAUUAAGAAAAGUUCAAAAAAGGAAAAAGAAAGAAAGCAAAAAAAAAAAAAAAAGAAGUAAAAAACUUAUUAUUAUUCUAAUAUUGACAAACAAUAAAUUAAAACCAGCCAAAUAUGUUAUUAAAUUUAUUUCUUACCUGUUUUUGUAGUUUGGAAAACCUAAUUAAAUUAUUUUCCUAAUAAUUAAGGGUUCGAAAUCAACUAAAAUAAUAUAUUAAUUUUUCCUUAUUCGAGUUAUGUAAUUUAGGACUUUCAAAUCAAUUAAUAUUGUAUAUUAUUUUUUUCUUAUUUAGGACUUGUUAGGGUUUUUGUCCUAAUUUUCUUGUCAAAAUUAAGUUUUACUUUUUCUUGGAAGGAAAAUAAAAGUAACCAUAAUUACUUUUAUUUUUUCUAAAAGGAAAAUAUAUUUUUUUUCCAUAUUUGGCUAACCUCUUUCUUCGAGGAAAGGUUUUGGACAUCUAUAAAUAGAAAAAAACUCUUCUCAUACUAUAACACAAUAUCAUCCACAAUGUAGUCAUUAAAAAGUCUUUGUUUAGGGGGAGAUUUUUCCCAAUAGAUUUUAUGUUUUUCAUAUUAGUUUUUCUAUAUGUAGGCCAAUUGGCCAAACCAUAUCAAUAAUAUGGUUUUUGAAAUAUUGUUUUAUGUGUCGUUUGAAUUAUGUCUGCUAUGGUUUGUAAAUUAUAAGCUUCCACAUGACGGCCUGUCAAUUUCGAACCCAACAUGACUCUCUUACACAUAGAGAUAGAAAAUACCAAUAUGUAAAAUUCUGAGGUAUGCUUCUAAUCCCGAACACCUUUUUUCCUUUGGUGAAUUCUCAAUUUUCUUUUUCAAGAUAUUUGUUUUCCUUCAAAUAACAUGAAAAUCUAAAUAUUUUUUCCUUCACCAUCAAUGUUUGUUCUUCUACCAUAUUAUUUUUCUUUCGUCAUUGAUAUUGGUUCUUGUAAUAUAAUCAAACGUUACACGUGCAAGACACGUGCGAUUAAACUAGUAAUAAUAAUAAUAAUAAUAAUAAUAAUAAUAAUAAUAAUAAUAAUAAUAAUAAUUGUUCAUCAUUAUUUUCUUUGCCUUGUUCGCCCUACCCUUGACGUGACAUGACAUUGACAGGUUUUUUAAAUUAUUGCGACCUAAACAAACCAUGCUAGAUAAUCAUAUUUAAAAAGUAACUUCUUAAAUAAAGGGGGGCCUUUUGGAAAAUAAAUAAAAACUAUGGCUUAUGACCCACACAAAUGUGGGCCCACGCCUUUUUGAAAGUUGUAAAAUACGAAACAAAAAUUUGAGACAUAAAAGGGUGGAUAAUGGGGCCUCCUCAGGAUCAUCACCGAUUUUAAAAAUUAUUAGUAAUUGCCCUUUCAUCUACCGCAAUGAGUGACGGGUUAUGAGUAGAUGGAGGUCCAGUUUUGCAAGGCCUCCCACGAUGCAAUCUUCUUUACCCCACCGGACUUUGGAAAACCAUCUGGUAGAGCAUUGUAGCCUUCGAAAAGAUCUUUUAUCCCAUCCCCAAGACCAUCAUCAUUUGACAACUCAGGUACGAGAAAUGACUGGUACAAGAUCGACAAGGGCCUAAACAAACUCUCCUUUGAAUUAUCUUUGAUCUCAUUUUUCCUUCUUGGCUGGUACUCUAUCCUAUACUUAAAUUUUUUUUCCGGGAUCAUAACAGGCUAAAAAUUUCCUUCCAAAUCCUUACUUGAGGCGGCCGCAACUUUCUCUAUCUUCUCCACCUCUUCUGUUCUUCUGAGUCCUUCUGAAUUUACCUUAGCGAUGGCCUUGCUAGACGCCCAUUCACCAUCUAUUUCAAUCAUAUUAACUGUAGGUCCCCCAUGGUUAGGCAAUGGAUUACUGUUAACAUUUGGUAUCGGCGACUGAAGUGUGAUGCCCUUCUGAUCGAUCAAAUCUUGGAUCUUAUGUUUCAAGUUAAUACAAUCCUCGGUACUGUGCCCCGCUGCUCCUGAAUCAUAGACACAAUUUUUAUUGGGAUGAUAAAAUCGAGAGUUGGGAUCGAUAGGCUUUGGUUAGAUCGGUUGCAAAUAACCAGCUUUUAUCAAUCUUCUGAAGAGCUGGGUACGACUUUCAGCUAGUAGUGUGAAGUUUCGGGGAGGUUUCUUUUCAAAUUUUGGACGUGGAGGGUUAUAAUGAUUUUGAUUUAUGAGAGGAGGUACUUGAUGAUAAUUUGGAGACGUUUGGACAUUUAUUUGAUUAUUUGGAAAAGUAGCUUGAGUAUAAGGCUGAUAAUUUAGUUGUGGAACUUGGUACUGGGGUAAAAUAUUUGGAUUUGGAGCUUGACAUUGGGGUUGAGCGUAGAAUAUAGGCUGAAAACUUGGUGAUGAUGAUGAGGAAAGAAUAUUUCUAGGCUUGAAUUUCCUCUUUAACUUAUCAAGUCUUCUCUAAUGAUUCCCCAAUCUUUACUAAAUCUGUGAAAGUUUCUCGGACCGCGGAUAUCAUCCUGGUAUAAAAGUCUCCUUCCUGUGCAUAAGAGAAAACUGAUACCAUUUCUUCCUCAGACAUGGGAGGUUGUACUUUAGCAGCCUUUUUUCUCCAACGAAAAGCAUAGUCUCAAAAACUCUCAUCAUUCUUUUGUUUGAUCCGAUCUAGUGAAUAUCGUUCAAGUACUAUUUCAAUAUUGAAUGCGAACUGGUCAAGAAAAUCCUUGGCCAAUGCUUUCCAACCAGUCCACUUUUUUGGCUCCUGAGACUUGAACCACUCCAAGGCUUCGCCACUUAAACUUCGACUGAUUAAGCGCAUCAAUAACGCCUCGUUUUUCCCUAUCCCUACUAGUUGCUCACAGUACCUUCUCAGAUAGGUCAUUGGAUUUCCGGUACCGUCAAACAUCUCAAACUUAGGGACUUUGUACCCAUCUGGUAGGUCUACUCCCGGGUGAACACAUAAAUCGUCAUACCCUAAACCAUCGUGGUCCCUCACUCCAUGAGAUUCUUUGAUCCUCAUGAUCUCUUCAUUCAUAGCUAGCAACUUCAAUUUAUGCUCGGUCCUCCACUCUUUCUCCUUCUCCUCGUAAUGGUCUAUCUCAAAAUUAGGAAGAGGAUUAUAAAUAUCAGGGGACAUGAUGGCGUGAGGAGGAUUUAUAAGGAAGGCUUAAUUUUGCGGAGGAAAGGAACUUGAUUGGUAAGUGGAGAGGAUGUUUUGGAAAUUGGAAAGGUUCUAUGGACUUUGUAAGUAGUUUGGCAGAAUAUUAGAAGGAUUUUACGGAUUUGGAAAUGAAUUUGGUGGAUUCAAAGGUAGGUUUGACGUAUUUUAUGGAUUUGGGAGUGAAUCUUGCAGAUUUGGGAAUGCAUUUUGUUGAUUUGAGAAUGUGUUUUGAGGAUUUGGAAAUAGAUUCGAAGACGGGUUCUGUGGGGUUAUAGAUGGAUUUUGUGGAUGGUAGGUGUUUGGGUUAUUUUCACUAUUAGUAUUUUGUAAAAAUGAAGGAGCGGAGACGGAUACUACGUUAUUUGGCUGAUACCCAAGAGUAGGGGUGCUGAGGGGAGAAAUUUGGAGUGGAGUCCCGUGUCCUCCCAAAGCGAGUGCAUUGACGGUAAUGGCCAAGUUAGCCAAAUCCCGAGUGCAAUUUAUUUCUUCCUGAAACAUUUCUAACUUUCUUGCAAGUUCUGCAAUCAUCUCAUUCUGUUCCGCUAUCACAUUGUCUCGGAUAGUCAGUGCGCUCUCUUCGUCAUUUCCUAUUAUUUUCUAAUGGUGGUCAGAGGAUAGGAUUUUGUGUGCUUUUGAUCGGGUGAAGUAGGGAUGUUCUGCCAGCUUAUAUCAACACGGAGUAAUUUCUAUUAUCUGUAAAGUAAAACAACUCAAAGGCAGAUGUGUUAGUUUUCGUAUAUGAUAAGUAAUGCAAAAUAUUUGACAGGAAAUAACCACAUAAAGUUGUUUGAGUCAUAGCCAAAUUCAUCCAUAGGACAUAGUGGAUAAACUUGCCUUUGAUCCAAACAAACGCACAUAACCACAUAAAACAGUUAUUUCAUACAACAAUAUUAUAAUAACGUGUAUCCCAGCUGGGGUGAACCUUUUUUAGCCAAGGGUUCAGGCCUAAUGAUUUUUGAAGAAAAUAUAUGCUUCCUCGAAGUCAAUCCAUUAACCCUCCAACUUAUAUAGACACGAAAAAAGGCAUAAAUGCCUACAAACGCUAACAAAAGAGGGAUACAAUCUUUAGGGAAAAAGAAAAAUAACAUGAAAGAAGAUAAGCUCCCACGCAGGGGAUAGCAAAAUACUAAUUCCUGAGUGCUUCUUCUAUCAGCCUUCGCUUUCUAAGCUUCAUCCAUUUCUUAUAUUGGUGACUUCUGUAUACUGUGCGUUAGAUGCAACCUCCCAAAUCAAUCAAUUUCUUGCUUUAACUUGUUUCAAUUCUUCUCACAAAAGUAAGCAAAUCAAGCUUUUCCCGACCUCCACAGGAUAAUGAAUUGAAUUUAGACAAGCAUGCAUUUUUUUCAACACAUAAAUAUGAUUCGUCUGUAAUUGACUUGGGGUCAAUAGACUCAAGGCAGGUUUUCUAAUAGAUCCAAUACCCCGCUCGAGUAUUGGAUCGUCCUAGGCUCAUACCUAAAAUAGGGUUUUGGUUUCGCUCUAUCCUAGGUAUCUAGAGUGGGUUUGAACACUGGUUCUCAAGUGGACAACUUGAAUUUGAAACUAUAAACAGCCAUCAGAUGACUCACAUGCUAAUAAACUAUUUGUAUUUCCAAUACAUUUUUGGAAUUGAUCAAUAGGGGUCGAGAUACCCACGAAACCCCAAAACAGUUUAAAUAAUGUAGACAUAUGCCAUGACAUAUGAUAAUUAAACUCUACAGAAUUGAAACACAUAAACACAUAAAUAGUUAAUUAAAAGACAAAAUCAAAUAUUUGGUUAGAACCUAGUUAAAAAUCCCCAACAGAGUUGCCAUUUCUGUUUUGCGGAGAAAUUUUGACUUUUGAGAGAGUUGCCACUUAAUUUUGAAAACGAAUUAAGAAACCUUUAGAGAGUUACUUCAAACGAUUCAAAACAGAAAAACCCUUUUAAAUUAGAGAUUCUAGAUAAGCGGUUCCUAUUAACGUUUUAGGAAGGUGUUAGGCACCAAAAACGUCCGCUAACUUGCGGUUAUCCGGACUGUUUGAAAAUCGUCUUUGAUUAACAUCUACAAGAUUAAUUUGUUAAAAAAUGAUUGAUUUUUAGGAAAAAUAUUCGUGUAAAAACAGUUUUAGACGACCUAAUAGGGAGUUUAACUAAGUCUACACAAAUGAAAUAAGCAAGUAAACACAUAAACGGGGAAAGGGAGGAGAAAGUAAAUGAUUUAGGCCAUUGGGCCCAAACCAACAAAACCUGUCCUAAUCUAAUUGGGUCUUUGACCCGUUUCACCUGUCCUACUCUAGUUUUCGAGCCUUUAGCUCGAGUCUCAAUCCACCUAUAUUAAAUACAACUUUGGCUUCGUGGCCCAAAUGAAUAACUAACGAAAUAAGUAAAUAGAUACGACAAUAAUAAAUAACAAUAACAAAUAAAUAAAUAAAUAGCAAUGAGGCUCGGGUCACAUCGUCGCUUCAAGAAUGGGACUUUAACCCAUUUCCCUUCUUUCGACUCCUUGUAUCCAUAUGCAUUUUGUCUUUUGGGUCUUCAAAUUUGACUCAAGACUAGGUGGGCCUCAAUGGCCCAGAAGGAACAUGCAAAGGGAAAGGCGAGACUCGAGCGUAGCCACAUGCGAAAGGAAAGAAAAGGAAUUAAUGUGUGCUAACAUUAAUGAAUAAGAAAAAAUGCUAAGAUAUAAUGCAUCUUCCUCAAGAGUAGGCUAUAAACUAUAUCAAAGCUAGUUUAACAACGACAAAUUCAUCUUUGAUGGCAUACAUGGAAACAACACGAGCAGGCACCCAAGUUUUCAAGUAUAUGAAUACAAAUAUAGUUCUAAAGUUAACAACACAUAACGAAGAUGUGUAAGAAUGACUUUUAUUCCCAAAUGUACUCGCCAGACUAAUGAAAAGAAAAUCCAGGUUUAAUCUAGGUGAAAUAGAAAUUAGAAAUUAUAAAUACAUGCACAGUAUAGCCAGCUAAAAAAUACACCAUUUAAAUAAUACACUCACAAUGAGGGAAUCGAGCAAAGCAAAAAUUUUGAAAUCCAGUAUCCCAAGGCAUCACAUACUCAAUAGACAAGAUAAAUUACAACAUUUUCUAUUUUUAGGCAAGAUCGAAUUGAGACGGUGAGGAGGGAAGACCCUCCAGAACAAAAGGAAGUAAACUACUUCAUGAGAGAGAUGCGAAAGAAAGGAUGUGAACAGUAUACAAAGAUGCUCAAACAGGUAAAUUUGUCUGGUAAUGAUUGUAUUUUAAACAUGCAAGACUGAAAACAAGAAAAAUUUAAUACCUUUGUAAACUCAAGUGUGUACAUAUACAUGAAUUUCUUGGUAUGACGACGGCAACGACUAUAAAAGUAACCAAUUACGGCUAAAAUAGUGACAAAAGCGAAACAAAAUCACACACUUCAAAGCAAUAUCGAGACUACACGCAUAUUCAUAGUGAUUUGUGAUGACAGAGAAUCAAAGCAAUAAACUUUUUACAAAGAAAGAACGAAACUAACAUAAGACAGACAAUAUGUCAACAUGUUAUAAAAAACACCAUCUUCAUCACAUAAUCCUAUGGCCUUUGAGGCAGACUACAACAAACGACCCAGCGCACCAUAUCACGAAAAGCUUACAACUUCAGAGGUUUAAACAAAUCAGCACACUAUGUCACUAAAAAAAACUUACAACUUUAGAAGUUUAAGAUGUGGCAGAAAUAAUCCCAAGUUAAACGGGAUGAAACGUCACCUUUUUCAGAGCAGCGAAAUGGGACGACGAGCGGGUAGGGAGAUCACGACCAGCAGAAAACUUCUUCACCGUCAACUCGAGACUCUAAUUUAGCUGAUGAACUUUAAAAACCAGAAUAGGAUUUAUACUAAAGAAUUAAUUUUUCCCCUAUUUUGAACCGGAAUCCCCUUCUUUAGACCCAAAAUCUCGAACCCCCUCAGUUGGGAUUUUUCCGAACCUAAGUUUUGAAUUCAGAAAUUUCCAACCCUAUAAUUUCUAACCUAAGAAAUUCCUCUAAAGUUUCAAACCGAGCCCGGGAAGAAGGGAAAAGAAACCCUAAAUUUUUUUGUCCUAAUUCUCGAACCCUAAUUUUUUACUCUAGAAUCUCCAACUCCCUAAAAUAGUGACCCAAACCUUCUUAUAUAGAAGAUGAAACUGGGGUAUUUUUUAGGGAUUUCCUCAGGGGAAUUUGAAAUUCAAAAGAUCAGGAUCCAACAGAUUCUACCCCCAAUUUGGAUUUUUCUUCAACAAAUCCAAAGCUGAUGGACCAAUAAGAAUUAGGGAAAACGAAUUCUUCUUCAAGACCAAUGAAAUUCUUCCAAAUAUGUAUGAAAAUCACACCAUUAUCCCAAGAUUCACGGGAUUGGAACGUUGGAAGGAGCCAACUCACCAUAUUCUAGAAAGUUCGAGGCUAUUCUCGUAUGAAUUCACAUGGUAGGGGCACGUGAUUGACGGGUUGAGUUCAGGUUGGUCGCGGAUCAACAAAUUUGGGUUGAGAAAAAUGGGAAUCGGAUCGAUUUGGAAUUGUUUCGGGUCAAGAAGUGUUGUCGUCUGCUGAUAUUGUGAUUUGGGAGUUGAUGUUGUUUGAUGUUGUGAUUUGGGAGUUGAUGUUGUUGCUGAUGAGCAGUAUAAGAGGGAUUUGUUAAUGGCGGGCUGGGUCAGGUUUUAAAUGGGCCGAUGGGUUGGGCUGCUGUUGAUGGAUAAAGAAGAAAAGGAAAUUGGGCCGUUAGUGUUAGUUGGGGUAUGGGCUCCUGGGGUUAGCUUGAAUUUGCAUUGGUGAUUAAAGAUAAGAAAUGGACUGAAAUUGGGGUUAUUUAAUAGAUAACCCCAAUUGAAUGAAGAAUUAGCUGAAUCCGUUUAAAUUUUAGCCAAAUUGAAAAUCAAUUAGCCAAUUGCAUUGCAAUUGAGGCCAAUUUGAUUUCAAUUAUAGCCAAAUUUAAUAGAUUGGCCAAAUCAAAUCAAAAUUCGAUAAAAAUUAAUACCUAACUUACUCCCGAGCUUCUUGAUUUAAUAAAAUUAAACACACUUUUAUCCAAAUAAAUUAUUUUUGAGAUUAAAUUAUACUUGAAUCAAGAUUUUAUUCUCUUGAAAUAAUUUUCAAGUUCAAUCUAAAUAAGAUUUCAAUUUUGAUAAAAGUAUUCAUUUUAAGAACAAAAUUUAUAUAAUCUCGUGUAUGUGAAUAUGAAAAUAUAUAACAGUCACUUAAAUGAUGAAAUUAACCCAAAUAAAUAUUUUAAAGUGCAUUUAUUUGAAAAAAAUAAUUGUUGUGAUUUUAUUUGAAAAUUGAAGAAACUCGAGAUUAAACGUACUUGUGGAGGGCAAAAAUCAGGUGUCAACACUCCCCUUCGGUUCUGUCUCACAAAUCCCUCUUCUUGCAUUGGCGGGUUUUGGACAUUUGGAAUUUGGUAUGGUGGAUUGGCAUUCAGUGGUGGAGUUUUUUGGAUUGACUGAUUUUGGUUUAGAGGAGUCGAAUUUAAGGGUGGCAUUUGGGUUUCAAGUCCGUCAUGUGGGACUUAGUGAUGUGGGGAAUGGCUUGGUCCAUCAAGGCCUCGGACUUGUGAGUAAUAGUUGGCUUGAGGUAUGGCAUUUGGUGGAUACAUUCUUUGGUGCGUGGCUUCGGGGGUAAUGGUUGGGGAUGUGUUUUGAGGAGUUGAGGGUCGAGAACUACGUUGGCUUUCUACCCUUUCCAUCCGACCACUAAUAGAGGCCACUUCCACUCCCAACUUAUCAAGACCCUCAUUCACUCUAGCCACGUCCCAAGACAAGUAUUCAAGAUUAGCCACAAGAGCAUUCAAAACAUUUUGGUCCACGGUUUGUGCAUUGGAAGUUUUAGGUUCCAUGUGUAAUGAUUCCAUUUGCCAAUGUACCUACAAAACAAACAAACGUUAGUUUCAAAUAUCCUCACACACUCUUCACACUUGGUUUCCUCACUUGGCCCUUCAAGUGUUGUAAGCCAGCUAUCAAUCUAGACUCAUUCCUAAGCACUCAAGGAUUGAUAGUCGGCUUACAACACUUGAAGGGACAAGUGUGAAGAGUGUGUGAGGAUAUUUUAAACUAACGUUUGUUUGUUUUGUAGGUACAUUGGCAAAUGGAAUCAUUACACAUGGAACCCGAAACUUCCAAUGCACAAACCCGGGUCUUGAUAAGUUGGGAGUGGAAGUGGCCUCUAUUAGUGGCCGAAUGGAAAGGGUAGAAAGCCAAUGUAGUUCUCAACCCUCAACUUGUAACACCCCGUACUCAAUUACGUGCAUUAGCCAUUGUUAUAUGUGUUGGAGUAUAUGUUUUGAUCCUAAGUUAGGUAUAUAUGAGUUUAAGUAUGAGUAUUGAUUAUUUUGAGAUGGUUUCAAGUGUAUAGUUUGAUUAUAGGUGUAUAGGAAUCGACUUUAUUUAUAUCGGAAUUUUCCCGUCGAUGGUUCCAUACGAAGGUUAUUGAAUAAGCUUUCCAACGAUAUAAAGAUUUCCAAAAACGGAUAAGUUUCGGAUAUAAGCGAGCACGUUCGAAACUUUAAAUCGGUGGCCGGGAUGUGAACAGUAAAAUGUGCAGGAAACUACUGAGGCCUGCCAGUUUUUUGGGUCAACUUUGAACGAUCAUAACUCCCUCAAUAUAAUGAACUGGGAGAGCUACCACAAAUCAAAAGAAAGAUCUUUGAGUCUUCUUUCCAAUGAAAUUGGUUUCAUCCAAAUCCAACAUCUGAGGAAGGAGUUAUACUCGUUUUACUUCAGCCUCUCAAAACAGAUUUUUAGGGUCAACUUCAAACGAUCAUAACUACUUGUACAGGACGAACUGGGUGGAUUAAUUUAUAUUAAAUGAAAGACCUUUGAAUUAUCUUUCUAACGAUACCAAUUUCACCCAAAUCCGAUAUCGGAGCAAAGAGUUAUGGCCGAUUUACUUUAGCCUAUCAAAACAGUCCACCAUGGACAGAUUCGGAUUUACUUAAAUUUUUAAGGGCAAUAUGGUCAUUUUCCAUCACCUCAUGGACGAAAAUUGGUCAUUAUAUACAUAUACUUAGCCUUAUAUCCACCAUUUAUCAUCCAAAUCAUUGAAGAAUAAGAAACCCUAGCCUAAGUUCAACUCCAAUUAUCUUGUGAUUCAACCGUAGAAAAUCCAAAUUGAUUCCGUAGUUGUGUUCACCGUCUCAAGGGCUUCGAGAAGCACCCCUUAUUUGUGCCAACAGGACUUCGAAAUCAAAAGGGCCAUUUUUUUUGGUAAGGAUGUAAAUUAUGUUGGUGUUAUUUAUAUGGAUAUGUAUAUAUAUAUAUAUAUGCAUGUGAGCAUAAGAAGUAUGUUAUUUGAUUGUUGUUGAAAGAUGAUUGGAAAUGAUGUUGGAUUAUUCUUGUGCAUGGUUGGAUUAUGUUAAAUUGUGAAGGAAUUUGGGGUGAUGAUGUGGUAUUGAUGAUGUGGUAUUGAGAUGAUGAUUAUAUACAUAUACACACAUAAACCUAUUGUUCAAGUUGGUUUUUGGAAUGUUUUGCAAAUAUUGGUAGUAUGGAAUUAUGGAAGAGAAUUGUGGUGUUGGGUUGCUAAUACUAGAUGCCAAACAUUUCAUUGUAGAUAAGUGAUUUGUAAAGGCGGGAAGUUGUGUUGAAUUGGUAUCUGAAUCUACAACGAGGUAUGUAAAGCAUACUCUAACAAUGUUCUUUGGCAUGAAAACACCAAUGUUCCAUCAAGUAAGAUUCCGAGGUUGUCCAAAAACAUGUAUUGUUCUACGUUACCAACGAAGUUGUUUCCAUCCUAUAAAGUGUCAAAAUGUUCAUUGAUAUACCAAAAGGCUCUUAUUUCAUUGUUGUGAUAUUGAUGAUUCUGAAACAUAUUGUUGAUGUACCAAUGAGUCCUUAUUACAUCGUUAUUGUAUAGAAGGUCUAUUACUUGGUUCCUAUUGAUGUAUCAUUGUUUCAAGGUAUCAAAAAUGUGGUGACGACCGAAAUAACAAUCUCAAAGAUUAAUUGAACUAAGUGAUGAAAGUUCUCUCUUAUCGGGUGGUAUCCCAGGGGCAUAAGCCUAGCAUGGGUCGAUCCCUAUUUCAUGUGUUUAUGGGUGGUAUCCCAGGGGCAUAAGCCUAGCAUGGGUCGAUCCCAGUUGAUAUGUACUGGAGGCAUCCUAAUGGUCACAGUACAGUACAGUAAUGAUUACAAAGACGAUAAGAACGAAGGUAAAGUGAUUGAAUAAAUACAAUGUACAGGUUGUCACAAGUUCUAGUAAGUGUGGUCCACUCCUAUUACGACUUAUUCACUUGUUUCUGAUUUCUAUUGAGCUCCUAUAUCAUAUGUGAUUAUUUACAGCUUUACAUACUCAGUACAUAUUUCGUACUGACGUCCCUCACGGGGGACCUGCAUUUCAUGCUGCAGGCACAGGUACCUCAACUCAUACACCGCACAAGUAGGAGCCAGGUCAUACAGCUAUUGUUGGUGAGCUCCAGUUUGCUUCGGAGCUUUCCGAGUCGGUUCCUUAUGUUUUGUUAUUGUACAUGAGUCACGUGUUUCCUUAUAUUUUGUUAUUGUACAUGAGUCAUGUGUGGGCGGGGGUUUGUCCCGACCCUAGUUAUGUCAUGUAUAUCCUAGAGGCUUUGUAGACAUAAGGAAGGAUAAAGUCAUGGAAGUUUAUAUAGUAACGUUAUAUUUGUAUAUGUGGUGGCCCCGACGGUCAAGUAUUAUAUAUAUAUAUUUGUGCGUGUUGUGCUGAUACAGGUAAUUAGACCUUUCUAUAUGCAACGAAGUGCUGUCCAAUUUUUUUGGUGACAUGUAAGUGAAAGUACAGGUAUUUGAACGGGUUCUCCCGGGCCUUCUCGGCUUCGGGUGCCAGUCCGGCCCGAUGGGAUUUUGGGGCGUGACACAACUCCUCAAAACACAUCCCCAACCAUUACCCCCAAAGCCGCGCACCAAAGAAUGUAUCCACCAGAUGCCAUACCUCAAGACAACUAUUACUCACAAGGCCGAGGCCUUGAUGGACAAAGCCAUUACCCAAAUCAUCAAGUCCCACAUGACAGACUUGAAACCCAAAUGCCACCCUUAAAUCCGACUCCUCCAAACCAAAAUCAGCCAAUCCAAAGAACUCCACCACUAAAUGCCAAUCCACCAUACCAAAUUCCAAAUAUCCAAAACCCGUCAAUGCAAGAAGAGGGAUUUGUUAGAGAGAACCGAAGGGGGUGUUGACACCUGAUUUUUGCCGUCCACAACUACGUUUAAUCUCGAGUUUCUUCGAUUUUCAAAUAAAAUCACAACAAUUAUUUUUUCCAAAUAAAAGCACUUUAAAAUAUUUAUUUGGGUUAAUUUCAUCAUUUAAGUGACUGUUAUAUAUUUUCGUAUUCACAUACACGAGAUUAUAUAAAUUUUGUUCUUAAAAUGAAUACUUUAAUCAAAAUUUAAAUCUUAUUUAGAUUGAGCUUGAAAAUUAUUUCAAGAGAAUAAAAUCUUGAUUCAAGUAUAAUUUAAUCUCAAAAAUAAUUUAUUUGGAUAAAAAUGUGUUUGAUUUUUUUAUUUUAUUAAAUUAAGAAGCUCGGGAUUAAGUUAGGUAUUAAUUUUUAUCGAAUUUUGAUUUGAUUUGUCCAAUCUAUUAAAUUUGGCUAUAAUUGAAAUCAAAUUGGCCUCAAUUGCAAUGCAAUUGGCUAAUUGAUUUUCAAUUUGGCUAAAAUUUAAACGGAUUCAGCUAAUUCUUCAUUCAAUUGGGGUUAUCCAUUAAAUAACCCAAUUUCAGCCCAUUUCUUAUCUUUAAUCACCAAUCCAAAUUCAACCUAACCUCAGCAGCCCAUACCUCAACUAAGACUAACGGCCCAAUUUUCUUUUCUUCUUUAUCCAUCAACAACAGCCCAACCCAUCGGCCCAUUUAAAACCUGACCCGGCCCACCAUCAACAAAUCCCCCUUAUACUCCUCAGCAGCAACAACAUCAACUCCCAAAUCACAAUAUCAGCAGACGACAACACCUCUCGACCCAAAACAAUUCCAAAUCGACCCGAUUCCCAUUUUUCUCAACCCAAAUCUUUUGAUCCGUGACCGAUAUGAACUCAACCCGUCAAUCACGUGCCCUUACCAUGCGAAUUCAUACGAGAAUAGCCUCGAACCUUCUAGAAUAUGGUGAGUUGGCUCCCUCCAACGUUCCAAUCCCGUGAAUCUUGGGAUAAUGGUGAGAUUUUCGUACAUAUUUGAUAGAAUUUCAUUGGUCUUGAAGAAUAAUUGGUUUUCCCUAAUUUUUAUUGGUCCAUCGAUUUUGGAUUUGUUGAAGAAAAAUCCAAAUGGGGGUACAAUCUGUUGGAUCCUGAUCUUUUAAAUUUCGAAUUACCCUGAGGAAAUCCCUAAAAAAAACCCAGUUUCGUCUUCUAUAUAAGAAGGUUUGGGUCACUGUUUUAGGGAGUUGGAAAUUCUAGAGUAAAAAAUUAGGGUUCGAGAAUUAGGACGAAAAAUUUUAGGGUUUCUUUUCCCUUCUUCCCGGGCUCAAUUUGAAACUUUAGAGGAAUUUCUUGGGUUAAAAACUACAGGGUUGGAAAUUUCUGGAUUCAAAACUUAGGUUUGGAAAAAUCCCAACUGAUGGGGUUCGACAUUUUGGGUCUAUAGAAAGGGAUUCCGGUUUGAAAUAGGGGGAAAAAAUUAAUUCUUUAGUAGAAAUCCUGUUCUGGUUUUGAAAGUUUGUUAGCUAAAUUAGAGUCUUGAGUUGAUGGUAAAGAAGUUUUUCGGUGGUCGUGAUCUCUCUACCCGCUCGUCGUCCCGUUUUGCUGCUCUGAAACAGGUGACAUUUCAUCCCGUUUAACUUGCGAUUAUUUCUGCCUCAUCUUAAACUUCUAAAGUUGUAAGUUUUUUUUUAAGUGACAUAGUGUGCUGAUUUGUUUAAACCUCUGAAGUUGUAAGCUUUUAGUGAUAUGGUGCGCUGGGUCGUUUGUUGUAAUCUGUCUCAAAAGCCAUAGGAUUAUGUGAUGAAGAUGGUGUUUUUUUAACAUGUUGACAUAUUGUCUGUCUUAUGUUUGUUUCGUUCUUUUCUUUGUAAAAAGUUCAUUGCUUUGAUUCUCUAUCGUUGUAAAUCACUAUGAAUAUGCAUGUAGUCUCGAUAUUUCUUUGAAAUAUGUGAUUUUGUUUCGUUUUUGUCACUAUUUUAGCCGCAAUUGGUUACUUUUAUAGUCGUUGCCGUCGUCAUACCAAGAAAGUCAUGUAUAUGUACACACUUGAGUUUACAAAGGUAUUAAAUUUUUCUUGUUUUCAGUCUUGCAUGUUUCAAAUACAAUCACUACCAGACAAAUUUACCUGUUUGAGCAUAUGUGUAUACUGUUCACAUCCUUUCUUUUGCAUCUCUCUCACGAAGUAGUUUACUUCCUUUUGUUCUGGAGGGUCUUUCCUCCUCACCGUCUCAAUUCGAUGUUGCCUAGAAAUAGAAAAUAUUGUAAUUUAUCUUGUCUAUUGGGUAUGUGAUGCCUUGGGAUACUGGAUUUCAAAAUUUUUGCUUUGCUCGAUUCCCUCAUUGUGAGUGUAUUAUUCAAAUGGUACAUUUUUGAGCUAGCUAUACUGUACAUGUAUUUACAAUUGCUGAUUUCUAUUUCGCCUAGAUUAAACCUGGAUUUUUUUUUCAUCAGUCUGGCGAGUACAUUUGGGAAUAAAAGUUAUUCUUACAUAUCUUCGUUAUGUGUUGUUAACUUUAGAACUAUAUUUGUAUUCAUAUACUUGAAAACUUGGGUGCCUGCUCGUGUUGUUUCCAUGUAUGCCAUCAAAGAUGAAUUUGUCAUUGUUAAACUAGCUUUGAUAUAGUUUAUUGCCUACUCUUGAGGAAGAUGCAUGAUAUCUUAGCAUUUUUUCUUAUUCAUUAAUGUUAGCACACAUUAAUUCCUUUUCUUUCCUUUUGCAUGUGGCUACGCUCGAGUCUCGCACAGACUCCCUUUCCCUUUGCAUGUUCCUUAUGGGCCAUUGAGGCCCACCUAGUCUAUAUUAUUGUUGUAUUUACUUACUUGUUUCGUUAGUUAUUCAUUCGGGCCACGAAGCCAAAGUGGUAUUUAAUACAGGUGGAUUGAGACUCGAGCCAAAGGCUCGAAAACUAAAGUAGGACAGGUGAAACGGGUCAAAGACCCAAUUAGAUUAGGACAGGUUUUGUUGGUUUGGGCCCAAUGGCCUAAAUCGUUUACUUUUUCCUCCCUUUCCCCGUUUAUGUGUUUACUUGCUUAUUUCAUUUGUGUAGAUUUAGUUAAAAUCCCUAUUAGGUCGUCUAAAACUAUUUUUACAUGAAUCUUUUUCCUAAAAAUCAAUCAUUUUUUAACAAAUUAAUCUUUUAGAAGUUAAUCAAAGAUGAUUUUCAAACAGUCCGGAUAACCGCAAGUUAGCGGACGAUUUAGGUGCCUAAAACCUUCCUAAAAUGUUAAUAGGAACCACUUAUCUAGAAUCUCUAACUUAAAAUAAUUUUUUUGUUUUGAAUCGUUUGAAGUAACUCUCUAAAGGUUUCUUAAUUCCUUUUCAAAAUUAAGUGGCGACUCUUUCAAAAGUCAAAAUUUCUCCACAAAAAAGGGGGAUAUGGAAUUUAUGAUGAUCCUUAUUUGAUGGAAGAGAGGAUGAGAGGUAGAAGGAUAAAACCGAGGGAGAACCGAGGGCUUAAAGGUAGGGGCGACCAAGGUGUUCGGGAAAGGGAUGUUGGCCUCAACACUAUCAAAAUGGGGCUUCCGAUCUUUAAGGAAGAAAGUGAUCCCGAAGAGUUUCUCGCAUGAGAAUCCGCAUGCGAGAGAGUCUUUCAAGUGAAUGAGCUCACGGAGAAGAAAAAGAGUUGCUACGCCAUUGCUCAUUUUGAGGGAUAUGCUACCAUGUGGUGGGAGUAUGUCAAACGUUUUGGCAACAUAUUGAUUGAGGGGAAACCCACUCCUUGGUUUCAAUUAAGGUAUCUUAUGAGGCAAAGGUACCUUCCCAAAAGCUAUCAACAUGAACUCCUUGCAAAAUUGUACAACUUGAAGCAAGGAAACAAAAGUGUAGCAGCCUACUAUGAUGAGUUUCAACAAGUCAUCUUGAAACUUGAUCAUAGAGGAGAAUAAGUGAGCCACGAUAUCAUCCGGUUUAAGGUCGGCCUAAAUAAGGAAAUCUCUACACACAUGACACUUCAUAAGUUUGAAACUAUUGAAGGGAUCUUUCAAGUGUCUUUAGAGAUUUAACGAGAGAACAAGGAAAGGUCGGCCUACAAAACCAAAGCCUACCAAGGGCCCUCGGGUUAGACCAAAGGAACAGAAGUGGUUCCCUCAUCUUCGGGGUGGAACAAAUCCAAACAACAACCAGUCAAGACCCCUCCACCCAUGAGCAAGAGUGCUCAACCACCUCUUCCACAGCUUGAGGGAAAGCUGAAUGUUUCUUCUAAUGUCAAGGGAUUCCAAUGCUUUAAAUGCCAUGAAUAGGGACACAAGGCUGUUAAGUGUCCUAAUCGGAGAAAUAUGAUAUUGAGAGAAGGGAAAUUGUAUUUCUUGAGGGAAGAAUUGGGACUUGAAGGGGCUGAAAAUGAAGAAGUCGCUCAAGAUGGAGAGGGAGGAGAGGCCGAGAGGCCUAAUAAUGAUGAGGAAGAGGAGGUUUGGACUCAAGAAGGUGAACUUAAAGUACCUAAUUUUGUGGUACAGAGAGUUAUGAUUAGCAAAGCGUUGGAUGAUCCUAGCCAAUGGAAAAACUUCUUUCAUACUAAGUGCCUCAUUAAGGGGAGUGAGUGCUCCUUGAUUAUUGAUAGCAAAAGUUGUGCUAAUGUAGCUAGUGCCUCGAUGGUGAUUCACUUGAAGUUGCCAACUACUCCACAUACGAGUCCGUAUAGACUCCAAUGAUUGAAUGAUUGUGGAGAUUUGAAGGUGACUCGUCAAGUGGUGAUUCGGUUCAAGGUUGGAAAUUAUGAGGACGAGGUACUUUGCAACAUCAUUCCUAUGCAUGCUUGUAACCUUUUGCUGGGUUGGCCAUGGCAAUAUGAUAGUUCAACCAAGCAUGAUGGCCAAACCAACCAUUAUUCCUUUGAGUUCAAGGGUCGAAAGUACAACCUCCAACCACUAUUACCGUCACAAGUGCGUGAGGUACAUCAACAAAUGAAGAAUUUUCUAGGAAAGAGAAAGAAAGGGAAAGAAAGAGAAAAAACCCGCGGGUAUAGGGGAGGAACCCGAGAGUGGGAAGGGUGAGGGUAAAGAGUGAGUUUCAUCAUUGAGGGGUAGGGAUUCAAUGGUAAUGUUUGCUCGUAAGGGUGACCUCUUCAAAGGUAUGAUGAUACUACUCCCAUGCUACUUUUUGCAUAUGUUUUGAAUGCUAACCCAUCCACUUCCCCUAUCCUUUCUUCUAUUUCUAAUGUCUUGCAGGAAUUUGACGAUGUGUUCCCAAGUGAGUUACCGCAAGGAAUUUCUCCACUUUGACGAAUCGAGCUCUAAAUCGACUUUGUUCCGAGGUUGUAAUUGCCAAACAAGCCGGCUUAUAGGAGCAACCCCACGAAUACAAAGGAACUCUAAUGGCAACUUGAGGACCUCCUCAACAAAGGAUAUAUCAAGGAAAGCAUGAGUCCGUACGAGGUCUCGAUGUUACUUGUACCAAAGAAGGAUGGGAUAUGGCGAAUGUGCGUGGACUGCUGAGCCAUAAAUAAAAUUACGGUAAAGUAUCAUCAUCUUAUUCCUAGGCUAGAUGAUAUGCUUGACGAACUAAAUGGCUCUUGUUUGUUUUCUAAGGUUGAUCUUAGGAGCGGAUAUCACCAAAUUCGUAUGCAAUCGGGUGAUGAAUAGAAGACCGCAUUAAAGACCAAAUUUGGUCUAUAUGAGUAAAUGGUCAUUCCAUUUUGUCUUACCAACGCUCCUAGUACCUUUUGCGGCUAAUGAAUCAUGUAAUGAAGCCGUUUAUUAGCAAAUUUGUGGUCGUGUACUUUGAUGAUGUUUUAGUUUAUAGUAAGUCUCUUAUUGAUCAUGUCUUGCAUCUAAGGAGUGUGUUUGAUGUUCUUAGGAAAGAAAAGUUGUAUACUAAUAUUGAAAAAUGCUCCUUUGGUGUUGAUAAAGUUUUGUUUUUGGGAUUUGUUGUAAGCUCGAUGGGAGUGGAGGUAGACGAAUCCAAGAUAACCGCCAUUAAAGAUUGGACAACCCCAAAAACCGUGGGUGAAGUUCGGAGCUUUCAUGGGUUAGCAACUUCUUAUAAGAGGUUCGUCAAAGGAUUUAGUACCAUUGCCACCCCCUUGACCGAAAUCAUUCGAAGGGACCAACCUUUCCAGUGGGGUGAGGAGCAAUCUAAGGCCUUUAAGACCUUGAAAGAUAUGCUCAUUUCGGCACCAUUAUUGCAAUUGCCUAAAUUUGAUAAUAUGUUCAAAGUUGAAUGCGAUGCUAGUAAAGUAGGUAUAGGGGCUGUUUUGAUGCAAGAUUUAAAGCUCAUUGCUUAUUUUAGUGAAAAGCUCAAAGGAGCAACUCUAAACUACUCUACGUAUGACUUGGAGUUGUAUGCCUUGGUUAGAGCAUUAGGCAAUUGGCAACACUAUCUUUGCCCCAAGGAAUUCGUAAUCCGAACGGAUCAUGAAUCCUUGAAGCACCUUCGGGCAUAAGAUAAGCUUAACAAACGGCAUGCCAAAUGGAUUGAAUUUCUUGAAACCUUUCCCUAUGUGAUUCAAUGCAAAAGGGGAAAGGAUAAUGUGGUAGCUGAUGCAUUAUCUAGAAAGCAUGUUCUUGAGUCCACUUUGUCGUCCAAGCUAAUGGGGUUUGAGAGCCUUAAGUCUUUGUAUCCCGAGGACCCUUACUUCACUCCUAUCUUUAGGGAAAGUAAAGCUGUAGGUAGGGANNNNNNNNNNNNNNNNNNNNNNNNNNNNNNNNNNNNNNNNNNNNNNNNNNNNNNNNNNNNNNNNNNNNNNNNNNNNNNNNNNNNNNNNNNNNNNNNNNNNNNNNNNNNNNNNNNNNNNNNNNNNNNNNNNNAGGGAAAGGAGGCCCUUGGAGUCUACUCCUUAUGCCGUGUUUGAUGGGUUCUUGUUUCAGGGGAUACGAUUAUGUGUACUUUCUAGCUCUUGGAGAGAGUUUUUUGUGAGGGAUCAUACGAUAGAGGUCUCAUGGGUCACUUUGGAAUUAAUAAGACCCUCGGGAUAUUGGAGGAGCAAUUCUAUUGGCCUAGGAUGCACAAAGAUGUUGUCAAAAUUUGCGACCAAUGCAUGGAUAGUAGGAGUGCUAAGUAGAGGCUCCUUCCUCACGGGUUAUACACCCCACUUCCCACUCCAUCACGCCCAUGGUUUGAUAUUUCUAUGGAUUUUGUGUUAGGGCUGCCACGAACUCAAAGGGGUCGGGAUAGCAUUUUUGUUGUCAUUGAUCAUUUCUCCAAAAUGACACAUUUUAUUCCAUGCAAAAAUAGUGAAGAUGCGGCUAGUGUAUCUUCUUGGUUUAUUGAAAAUGUUGUUAAGUUACACGGCAUUCCAAGGACCAUUGUAAGUGAUAGGGAUUCUAAGUUCCUUAGUCACUUUUGGAAGUCAAUGUGGGGUAGGCUCGGAACUAAAUUAUUGUUUUCUACGUCUUGCCACCCACAAACCGAUGGCCAAACGGAAGUAGUGAAUAGAACCUUGGGUUCCAUGCUACGUUCCAUGGUUAAAGGUAAGUUGACAUAUUGGGAAGAUCACCUACCUCUCAUAGAAUUUUCUUACAAUCGGGUGAUCCAUUCGAGUACAGGCAUUACGCCCUUUGAGUGUGUCUACGACUUCAAUCCCCUAACCCCCUUGGAUCUAAAUCCUUUGUCAAGUGAUAUUGUUAUUAGCUUAGAUGGAAAUAAAAGGGCCUAAGCCAUGAAAAUCUUGCAUGAGAAAGUGAGGAUGCGGCUUGAUAGGAAGAAGCAAGAGGUGGCCAAAUGAGUCAACAAAGGGAGAAGACGUCUUGUGCUUGAGCCGGGAGAUUGGGUGUGGGUACACCUACGUAAGGGCCGAUUCCCCAACCAAAGAAAGGGCAAGUUGCUACCAAGAGGUAACGGUCCAUUCCAAGUUCUUGAAAGAAUCAACGAUAAUGCUUACAAGAUCGACUUGUCACCGAAAUACGAAGUGCAUAAUACAUUCAACGUGUGUGACCUCUCACGGAUUGAUACCAUUGAAGAUUAAGAACCCGUGAGUUUGAGGUCAAACUCCUUUUAAGAUGGAUAGGAUGAUACGGUGUCACGGGCUCUAGACCAUUUACUAGAAGUCAAGCUCGGGAACUACAAAAGCUUCAAGGCGUGUUUAUGAAAAUGGACACGGUUGAGCUUGUUGCAAAGUCACCCAAGGGAGUGUACGUAUUGACAUGUGGGGGAUGACAUUAGGGAUCCAAAAUACCCCCCCCCCCCCCCAAGGCUUCCCCAAACACUCUACACCCUCCCCUUUCAUUAAGGGCAAAGAGGUCCUUUUGCUAUCCUUUUUGUAAAGACUAUUUAAGGUCUUUCUUUAGUCUUGUUCUCUUAGUUAGAUUAUUCUUAAAAAUCACUUGUAAUAUUGAACAUCAUCUUCCUCUCAAUAAGAGAGUAGACCACCAUUUGACACCACAAGAAAUGGUUUCUUCUUGUGUUGUGUGUAUCAGCUAGAAACGAGAGUGAUUGAGGGAACCGAGCUCCUCUUAUGUUCCGUAAGAACGUGGUGCUUGUUAACUUGUUUUGUAGAGGUUUUAGAGUAUUAAUAAACUCUUUAGCUGCUGCAAUAUGAGUUCUCCUUACGUCAAGUUACAUAUCUUCUCUAUCGUUUAAGUUGGUGUUUGUUGUUUCCGUUAAGUGUCUUGUGCGUGUAGACUGUUUGUGCGAUUGCGGACUGUUUCAUGCUCUUUUAGAUACCGUUUGGUAUCAAAUGACUAUAUCAUUAUUAAAACAUUGUCGAAUGCAAACGUUGCGUCGUUAAAUAUACAUGAAUAGUUCACUAAUCGUUCAUGAAGUUGUAUAUCUUCAGUGAGUGUUCUCCAUAUAUCUUGGUUGGUGACUUUUUUUUCUUAGAGAAAUUCAUAUGUUGAAAUUUUAAAAAAUAUAUUAAAGGAGGGGAAUAAUACAUAAAAAUCAUAUUUCAUAAAUUAUAAGUUUCAUACAAAAGAGUUACUAAUAUGGCUAGAGUUAAGUUCGCCAUAAAUACAAAAAGUGGAAAUAUUUAAUUAAUACAAACAUUAAUGGAUUAUAAGCUAAAAAAAUCAAAUGGACUACAAGAGGGUAACUUUGGAAUAAGUGAAAAUUAUAAGGGAUACAAAAGUGAUUUACUUAGUCAACUUUCAAUAGAUUAUAAGCUAAAAAAAAUAAGUAGGUAAUGGCCAACUUCUAGUUUUUGGCUUAUAAAAAGCUAAAAUUAACUUUUUUUAAGCAAUUUUUUAAAUUGUCAAACACUCCUAAAAUUCAAAAAUAGCUUUUAAGCUAUUUUGACCAAAUUAUAAUCUAAUCCAAACACCCUCUUAAAGUAUCUUGGUGCAUUAAUUCAGAAAAGAUGGGACAUCAAUAAUAUAUUGUGCAUCAUAUAGGUGCGAUGUGAAUGAAAUGGAAGCUUGCCUUUGAAGUAUUAUAUCACAAAAAGGUACUACCUAAAUUUAAAGGUAAAUUUUGCAUCAUGAUGUUAGACCAAGUUUGUUGUAUUGACAUGGUGCUAGAGAACUCCCACGUUUAAAGGUGCAAGUUUAAAAAUGAGGAUUCUGAAAUGAAUGUAUGGAAAAAGUAGGAGCGAUAAGAUUAGAAAUGAGGAUAUCCAAGUAAAGAUUAGGAGUAGCCUCUAUUGUUGAUAAGAUGAGUGAGCGAGGUUGAGAUGAUUUGAAGAUGUAAAAAAAUGCGAAAGGGUGGAUACGUGGAUGCUCCCGUAAGAAGGUACGAGAGGUUAAAUAUAGUAGGCCCUAAGAGAAAUAGAGAUAUGUCCAAAAUGUAUUGUAGAGAAACUAUUAGAUAGGAGUUGACUUAAUUCCAAUUUAUCGAUCAAGAACACGAUCUUAAAUAGGAGGGUAUGAAGGUCAUAGAUUAGAUAAAGAAUUAAUAAGAUAGUGAAGGGUCCUCUUACUUCCUGACGGGUAUAGGCUUUCUAGUGUUUGUCCUAGAAUUAGCUUCAUUAUUAUAGUGUUUGCUUUUACCACCAUCUGUUUCUUUCAUUGUGUUUUCUAAAAAUUACAUAUAUACACAAGAUAACUUUACCUUAUUACGUAAAAUCCCAUAUUGAAAAACAAAUUACAAAAAUCUCGAAUUAAUUACUCAAAUCCCUAUCUUUUUUACUCUCUCUCUCUCUUCCUUCUUAUACAUCCCAAACCACCGUAUUUUCCUCCAAAUUGUGCUCCUUAUUUUCCUCCUAAAACCUCGCUACCUAUUCUCUCCAAUUAUCUAUCUCCAUUGAACCUCCUUAUUAUCUCUCCAGACCCACAAAUCCUGACGAUCUAUAAUAAUCUUUCUCCAAUUUCAUCACACAUCCGUACACACAAAAAUCUCCUCAUCAUUUCAAGUUGACGUAAGGAAACAAAACAAGUUGAUCCAGUUAUUAUACAGGUAAAUUUUCCAUAUGAAAAUUAAUAUUUGUUUCUUUUAUUGUUCACUUUAAUGAGUCUUGUUGUACAAGGGGUGGAUUUAAACAUAUAUUUUGUUGCUAUCACCUUUUCUAAUUCAUAAUUGUGGAUUUACAGUGUCUCCAAUGGAUCCUGAAGCUGCACGCAAUGCACGGGAUUCACUGGAUCUGUUAUUUAAGCAUUCUCAAAUUUCAUCAAGCACCUAGAGAUGUUAAACAAUUACAACACUUCUUAGUUUUUUAUGUUGGUUUGGAUUCUUAGUUUUUAUUGAUUUAUUGAUUUAUUGAAACUGCUUAUACAUACAUAUGUUAUGUAUAGUCAACAACAUUAUUUACUAGGGUCAUGUUUCAAUUUUAUUUCAGUGUAUUGUAAUGACGUAAAAUCUAUUGUAUCGGUACCUCUCAAUCAUUAGAAUGUUAAUAUUAUCUAUGUUUGAAACUAAUACAAUAAAUUUUCGUUUAUAUCUAACGUAUAACAGAUAUUUAUACACUUAAGUGUUUAAUAUUUGUAACGUAUGAUAAAUAAUUAUACACUACAUUGCAUGUCAUGUAUCAUUAUAUUUUCAACUACUGAAAUCUCAUACCUCUAAAUAUAUGUCUAAUAACAUUAUACAUUCAUUACGUCAUCAUACAUUUAAAUAUAUGUAUAAUAAACUCUAAUACAAUAAAUAUUAUAACGCAAAGUAAUAAGCAACAUUAUAUUAUAUAAAAUAGUUAUGUGUGAAUUAACUUAUAUAUAUAUGUAAGUAACAAAAUUUAAUCUAUAUACUUAACCAAUAUUUUUUCAAAUUCCAUACUUCGGAUACAUUAAUAAUCUUUUUAACCAUUGAAUGAGAUAUGAUUAUACAUUACUUAUGUCAUCAUACUUUGCAAUACAUGUAUAAUAAAUUCUCAUACAAUAUAUAUUACAACGCAAUGUAUAAAACAUCAUUAUAAUAUAUAAAACAGUUAUUUAUGAAAUAACUUAUACAUAUGUAUGCACCAUAAUUAAAUCUAAAUAAUUAACCAAUAUUUUAUCGGACUCCAUACUUCGGAUACAUUGCCUUAUUAAUAUUAUAUAGUAAUUACAUGUCAUAACAUCAUAUAGUCAGGAUAUUUUUUGAAUUUGAAUUUUAUCAGACUCCGUACUUUUAAUAUAAAGAAUAUUAGAUUACCAAGACCCCAAAUGCCUCAACAAUAUAGUGAUAUUCAUAUUGAUUUUGGGAAACGAAAGAAAUCAAUCAUUUUUUUUUUCAAAUUGAAUUUCAAAUCGCAAUAACAAAAAAAAUUGUGGUGAUGUUUCAAGAUAUUUUUUGAAUUUGAAUUAUAGUUAUUAUUUUUAAAUAUCCAUAAAAUCAGAACAUUAAUUACUGCUCUUAUUAAGGUAAGAGAAUAACUGGAUAUGACUUAUUUCCAUAAUUUUAGGAAAACAGUUUCCUCAUACAUUGGAGUUAUGUAUAAGGUAUUUCGAAAUGCAUAUGUAUAUUCUCAAAUCUGGGAGAGAGAAAGUCAAUCUGAAAUCUUAUGUAAUUAGUUUCAUUGAAGAUGAGAUUUAUGUUGUUUAUACUUGUAUUUUACUUAUUGCAUAUUUUGUUGUUGUUGUUAUUUUUGUAUUAGUUACUAUAUUAUUGUAGUUAUUGUUUUCUCUAUUUAUACUUACUAGUAUACUUAUCCGCGCGAUGCGCGAAUUAUUGUAAAGAGAAAAAAAGGAGAAAGAUAAUUGUAACAAUCUUGAAAUGACUGAAUAUUUCAUCUACCAUUUGUAUGAUCUUCUUAAAUCAUUUGAUUGAUUGGAAUAUAUAUUUGAAAAUUGAAAUACAGAUUGUGGAAUCACUCCUAUAGUUUGAUUGGAAUAUAUAUUUGAAAAAAAAUUGUGCAAUUACUCCUAAUGAUAGUGGAAUUAGGAGUAACUGACGGAUGAUCUUCUUAAAUCACUUGAUUGAUGGAAUAUAUAUUUGAAAAUUGGAAUACGAUUGUGGAUUUACUUCUAUUGCUUGAUUGUAAAAUAUAUUUAAAAAUUUGAUUAAUUUAAAAAUAAAAAUAAAAAUAGAAAGGUUUCAAUUAAGGGACACAAUAAAGGAAGAGAAUGCCAUAGGGGUAGUGAAAAUUCACUUUUUAUAAAAUUGAGUGCUUUUUUUCCACAUUAAAAGGACGAUGAUGAGAGGAUAUGACAAUUACUGCUGGGGCUAUGAAGAUAACGUUCUAGAUUUCUUUUUAUUUUUCGUCCAUAUAUAAACACUUUUUUAUAAAAAAAAAAAAAUUGAAUUACUCCUAUAGCUUGAUUGAAAAAUAUAUUUAGAAUACAAAUUGUGAAAUUACUCCUAAUGAUAGUGGAAUUAGAAAUAAUUGACGAAAUUUUUAUGUCGAAUAUGUUAAAGUUCUACAUAUCUAUGAAAUAAUUCAUAUACUAAUUAAAUAGAAGUGAAAAUUAUUUUUUGCCACAAUGUGAAAUAUAUAAAUAAUUAUAUAGUGUUCAUUAAUAGGAGUCAAUUCAAAUUAUUUUUUGUCACUAUAUGAAAUAUGAAAUAAUAGAAUAAAAAUAAAUAAUAGUGUUUAUUCAAUAUUUUUUACCACAAUAUGAAAAUUUAAAAAUAUAUAUAUAAAAUAAAUAAUUAAUUUGUAAGAUAAAUUAUGUUGCCAACAAAAUAGAUCUUUGUUGCCAAAGUACUCAUUGGCUAGUUCUUAAUAUGACACUUGGCAUAAUUUUAUGCAAUUUUUUUUGCUUUAUUAUAUAUAUAGAUGUGAAAUAUAUAAAUAAUUAUAUAGUGUUCAUUAAUAGGAGUCAAUUCAAAUUAUUUUUUAUCACAAUAUGAAAUAUGAAAUAAUAGAAUAAAAAUAAAUAAUAGUGUUCAUUCAAUAUUUUUUACCACAAUAUGAAAAUNNNNNNNNNNNNNNNNNNNNNNNNNNNNNNNNNNNNNNNNNNNNNNNNNNNNNNNNNNNNNNNNNNNNNNNNNNNNNNNNNNNNNNNNNNNNNNNNNNNNNNNNNNNNNNNNNNNNUUUUACCACAAUAUGAAAAUAGAUAUGAAAAUUUAAAAAUCUAUAUAUAAAAGAAAUAAUUAAUCAGUAAAAUAAAUUUUGUUGUCAAGAAAAUAGAUUUUUGUUUCCAAAAUACCAAGUGGUUAGUUCUCAAUAUGCCACUUGGCAUAAUUUUAUGCAAAUUUCUUUGCUUUAUUAUAUAUAUAGAUGUGAAAUAUAUAAAUAAUUAUAUAGUGUUCAUUAGUAGGAGUCAAUUCAUAUUAUUUUUUAUCACAAUAUAAAAUAUGAAAUAAUAGAAUAAAAAUAAAUAAUAGUAUUCAUUCAAUAUUUUUUACCACAAUAUGAAAAUUUAAAAGUAUAUGAUAAAAUAAAUAAUUAAUCUGUAAAAUAAAUUUUGUUGACUACAAAAUAGAUUUUUGUUGCCAAAGUACUCAUUGGCUAGUUCUUAAUAUGACACUUGACAUAAUUUUAUGCAAAUUUCUUUACUUUAUUAUACAUAUAGAUUUUGAUUUGCCAUAGUUGAGCGGAGCAUCCUAAAAAAACAAUCUCUUUUCUUUCAAAAGAUAGUGAUAAGGUGAACAUAAUAUUCUUCAUAGAUCUUAUUUAUGAAAUUUUGUCGUGUAUGUUAUUAAUUCGAACAAAUCAUGAUUAUCGAUUUAUUACAUCACAAAUAUUUUAAAUUGAAUUUAAAAAUACUGUAUCACUAAUUUCAGUGGAAACAAAAGUAUUAUAAUAUUUUUUUGGAUAUGUUGUAAUUUUUGAUGAUUAAAAUUACCUGAUAGCUAUUAUUAGUGAAAUAUGAGACUAAUAUUUCAUGAAAAUUAUUCGAAACAGUUAUCAAAAAGAAGUAUUAUAUCAAAUUAUAGAAAACUCUUUACUUUCCUUAGCACUGUAGAUUUCUUGGGGAGCAAGAAAUAAACUUUUUGAAAAAAAAUAAAAUAAUUAUAUCUUAAUAUUAAUAAAAAAGGCCAAAGAAAUAUGGAAGCUUGCCACAAAAAGGACUAUAAAAGUUGACAAUCCUACAAAUGAAUAUUUGGGUUUUGUCAGUCAGAGAAGCGCGAUGGUAACAGAAGACUGAGAGCACUUUCUAGGUGGAGAUGGGAUUAUAAUAGGAUCAACAAUUAGCCUAUUUUUAUGUUUUAGUGAUGAACGAAUUAAUACGAUAUAUUUAAAAGGAAGUGUCAGAGUAAAUGUUAUUUAUAGAUGAUAUAAUAUCAAUUGAUAAGGCAUGUAGUGAAAUUAAUACUUCCUCUAUUUCAUAAUAAAUCAAUUAUUAAAUUUUGACACACAUAUUAAGGAAAAAAUAUUAAAGACAUAAAUUUAACACGAUUUUUUGUUUUUAUCCCCCCCAAAAAAAGUCGAUCUUGUAAUACAUUUUCAAAAGUUAAUUGAUUGUCAAAUCAUAAGGGCAAAUUUGAAAAAAAAUUUAAUAAUUCACUUAUUUUGAAACACCAAUAAAUACUCCAACAAUUCAAUUAUUCCAAAACGAAGGAAGUAUUAGGUUGAAGGUGCAAAAACAAAACUCUAAAAUUUAAAAAGUUAAGAUUUAAUAAGACCAAACCAGAAUAUUUAAAAUAUAAAUUUAGUGAUACAAUGCAUAAUACAUGUGUAGAAGUGAAACUUGACACAUAAUCUAUCCCAAAAAAACAAUUUAAAAUAUCUUGGUGCAUUAAUUCAGAAAAGUUGGGACAUCAAUAAUGAUAUUACACAUCAUAUAAGUGCAAUGUAAAUGAAAUGAAGGCUUGUCUUCAUAGUAUUGUGGGACAAAAAGGUACUGAUGUUAGACUAACUUUGUUGUAUUGACAUGAUGCUAGCCAAUUAAGAAUUCCAAUGUUUAAUGGUGCAAGAUAAAAAAUAAGGAUUCUGAAAUGAAUGUGUGGAGAAAUUAAGAGCGAUGAGAUUAGGAAUGAGGAUAUUUGAGCAAAGAUAGGAGUAGUUUCCAUUGUGAAUAAGAUAAGUGAAGCGAGGUUGAAAUGAUUUGAACAUGUGAAAAAGUGUGAGAGGUGGAACGUGGAUUAGCGGUGUCAAAAUGAACUCAAAUUGAGCUAAUCCGCCAACUCGUUCAAUAUUUAAUGGGUUGGAUUCAAGAUAAUUUAUUAUUGGGUAAAUCUUAACACAUUAAGUAUCAACCUAUUUUUAAAAUAGGUUCAAAUGAGCCUAAUUCAAUCUUCACCUCAACCCGUUUAAUAGAAACAUAAUUUUCAUAAUAAAAAUAGGCAAAACAAGUGACAAUGUAUCCUCCACUCUUAAAAUCACCCACCUCACCCCAGCUUACUCCACCCCCACCUCACCUAUAUUAAAUAUAUAAUUUUUAUUUCUUAAUAAAAAAUUAUAAUUUUUUUCUUGCCCUCACCCCACCUCAUCCCCAUCCCCAUCCCCCUCCCCUAAAAAAUUUUUAAAUUUUUUUUUUUUUUUAAAAAGUAAAAAUCUUUUCUUAGCUUACGAUCAAAAUUCUACCCUCUUCCCUUCCCGACAACCUUUAAACCUCCCAAAAAAGAUAUUUUUUUAAAUAAAUAAAUAUUUUUUUAUAUAAAAUUAAAAUUUCUAACCCAACCUCCACCCUCUCCCCUGAUCACUCUCCACUUCCCUAUACGAGAAUAUCCCAUCCCCAAAAAAUAUAUAUUUUUUAAAAAAUUAAUGCUUUUUAUUUUUUUUUUAAAAAAAAUCUUACUUCAUCCCUUCGCUACCCUCCACCCCCACCCCCACAUUGCUUUCAAAUUUUCUUAUUAAAAAAAAAAAUAUUUAUUUUUUAAAAAUAAUUUAUUUUAAAACAAAUUCUUAACCCCCUGGCCCCUCCACACAUACACACACCAUCCCCAUGCAUGACAUACCCCUUUUUUGAAAUGUUAUUUUUAAAAAAUAUAUAUAAAUAAAUUCUUACCUCAACUCCAUCCUAACCCCCGGCCCCCCACCCCCUACCCCACACUCUUUUUUAAAAAAUAAUUUUUUAUUUUUAAAAAUUUACCCCACUCCCACUCUCUACCCACCCACCCAACUUUUCAACUCCAUUCAAAUUUGUUUUCUUGAGUUGAGUUUACAAGGGGUAAAUAUUAAUAUGUUAAUAUUUCUUUGGCCAAGCGGGUCAAGACCCAAUCCAAUGUUUACUCAUUUCAACCCAACUCAUUUCAAUUCAAAGUAAAUUUGGACAGGUCAUAACCCAACCCGAUAUUCAAUUUCACUCAUUUAAUAUUAUCAAUCUGAAUCCAACCCACCCAUUUGAUACUCCUAACGUGGAUGCUGUCCUAAGAAAGUGCGAGAAGUUGCAUAUAGUAUGUACUUGAAGAAUAAAGAUAUGCCCAAAAAGUAUUAUGGAGAGACUACUAUUAGACAGAGUUUGAGACGACGCCAGCCUAUCGAUCAAGAUCACGACCUUAGAUAGGAGGAUAUGAAGGUAAUGGAUUAUUAGAUAAAGAAUUGGUAAUAGAUAGUGGUAGGUCCCCUUGCUUCCUGACGGGUAUAGGCUUCUUUGGGAUUGUUUAGUGUAAGGUAUUAAAACACAUAGUUUUGAAAUAAAAUAAUAAUUUCGAGAUGAAAUUUUUGAUGUCUUAUUUAGUUGUCAAGAUUGAAUAACUUAUCCCGAUAUUAAUAAAUAGUACCGGAGUAAGUUAUCCCAUCAUCUGAAUGAUAUAAAUAAUUCCAACAUAAUUUACCUUGCGAUAAAGUCAUAAAUGACAAAACCACCCUUCAAAACCUUAUAAAAAAAUUGAUGUAAGGACUAUCAAAAUCUCAUAUAUAUUAAUAAAUUAAACAAUUACACGGGCUUAUUAAAUACUACAAAAGUGAUCAGUCAUGAAAAAAUAAUAGUCACACCAUAAAAAUUAUUUAUUCAAUCAAAUAUAAAAUUGAUCCAAGGAUUUAUUAUCUUUUUAUUUUGUAGAAACAUUUAUUGAUCUUACUUCAAAUUUUCAUUUUUCCUAACAAAUUUAUCAUGGACAAGUAAUUAAACUAUCUUUUUUUAAUUUUUCAUCCGGUGUUCGGUGCCCACACUGGAGCCCCGACUAAUUCAGAUAGCGCGUUGCAGGGCGCAUUAAGGUGGCAGCGCUCCCAACAGAGUUUUCUCUGUACUCAGGAUCGAACCCUCGACUUCUAGUUAAGGGUGGAGCAGCCUCAUCCACUGCACCACAACCCAUGUUGGUAAGUAAUUAAAGUAUCUUGACAUUCUCUUUCUAAUUUGGUGCAUUCUUAAUUAUUAAAUAAAAAAUUAUUUUUCAGGUAUAGCUAAAAAUAUUUGAAAAUUUAAUUCUAAAAGAUAUAAUUUAACUCUCCAAAUAUUAAUGAUACUAAAUAAUGAAAAAUGAGAGUAAUUUUUUUUUUACAUUUUUUUGAUGUUUUUUUUUUUUUUAACAAAAAAUGAGGUUAUCAACAUUUUAUAGAAUUUAGGACAACAUAAGUAAUUUAACAUGAAAUAUUAAAGGUUCAUAGACGUUUAAGAAAUGUCGAUAUAAAUUUCUUAACAUGUAUUUUUAUGAAAAAAAUUUAUUAAAGUUAAAACAAUAGUAACUUUUCAACUUCUUUUUUAUGGUUUAAUAUGAGGGAUAAUAAUUAGGGAAAAGGAUAUGGGAUGACCAUUUGUUUUGAAAAUGACCCAUAAUUGAAAAGGUAGACAUGUUGUAGCCAGUCGGCUAAAGUAAUCCCCUUUUUUAGUCAUUUGGCCCAAUUGGGCACAUGCAGUCUCUAUAUUCAAUUGAUACACUUUUAUACAACAUUGAUACACUUUUAUACUAUAUUGAUACACUUUUUAAAAAAAGAGAAAGAAAAUUCUAUGCAAACACAUGCAGUUCCUAUACCCAAUUGAUACUCUUUUAUAUCAUAUUAAUACACUUUUAUACUAUAUUAAUACAUUUGCAGUGUCCAUAUACUUAAUUAAUACUCUCUUAUACUAGAUUGAUAUAUUUUUAGAAUGCAUGUAAAAACUAUAUAGAGUCGUAUAAAAUAUGUAUUUAAAUAAUAAUUGUAGUUAAAAAUUAUAUAGAAUGUUUAUAAAAAUGCUAUAAUUAUUAUAUAGAAUAUGUAUAUGUAUAGAAACUGUAUCAUUAUUAUAUAUAAAUAUAUAUCUUUAACAAUUGUAUUAUACAGUUACUCUUUUGGUUUAUUGAAUCAAACUAUGGAGGUGAAACACAUUGUCUAUUGUCUAAAACAUAUGUGUAGUUUAAGUUGGAUAAAGAUUUGUUCCAGUAUCCUUGGCCUAUAUUACAUUUCUUUGUUCAAUCUAAUAUUAAUUUGUCACAUUUGUAAUUAAUAUAAUUAGAUCAAUAUAAUUAAAAGACAUUUAUAAUUGUAACUGCUUUUAAAAGCUCAGCUAAAAAAUAAUUUUAAGGUAAAAGUAACCGUCAGAUAUAAAAAAGGUAAAAUCUUUAAAAAAGAAAGGAGAAAAAGAAGUCAAAAAAGCAUGGGCCAUUAAAGAUGAAAAUGAAAAGGCCGAAUUGUAUUGUGCCGAAAGAGUUAGUGAUUACAUAGAUAUACCCAAAACGGAAAAGGCUCAUCCCUUAGUGGCUAUUUAUCGAGUUUUUAAAUUUAGGUGUUAGUUUUGUGAAAUUAUUUUAAUUUUAGGUGUUAUUUUUGUCCUUUCCCCUAAUAAUUAAGCUAAAUAAGGUGAACGGUAUUUUUGUAAACAAACUAUCUAUUCUUAGAAAGAAUACAAUGCAUAUUAUUUUUAGUGCCACAAUUCAAGCAAUCACUAAAAAUAAUAUCAGAUAACUAAUCCAAGACAACUAAUCUCAACAUAACUAUUUCCAACAUAACUUAUUUACCAACCAAGCUUACUACUACCUUAUUUGAUAUACUUUUGCACCAUAUGUAUAACUAACGCUUGCAUUAGUUAUACACUUUAUUGUGUAUUAAGGUGUGUAUUACUAAUACCUCAAAAUCUAUGGUAUUAGCAAUGCAAUGGAUCCAAUAUAUGCAUUAACAUGAUUAAAGACACUAUUAUCCCUAAAAAAAAAUCCACAUCCUUUCCAACAUAUAUAUGGAGGAUAUUUUUGUAAUUUUUUUUUUAGAAAUGAUUUAAUUCAUGUUAUUUUUAAUACAACAAACCAAAUACUACAUAAGAAAAAUACAAGCAUAGCUAACACAAGUAUUACUAAUACAAGCAUUACUAACACACCAUAUUUUGCAUUAUUCUUAUACACUCUAUCAAACGAUCCCUUAGUGUUUGUCCUAUAUUAGCUUCAUUAUUGUAGUGUCUGAUUUUACCACCAUCUGUUUUUUUUAUGGGUAAAGGACAAAAAUAACGCCUAAAACUAAAAUAAUACCAUAAAAAUAGCACUCAUAACUAAAUACCCACAAAAUAACCACUAUCAAUAGAAUCAAUGUACCAUUUUCAUAAUUACCGCUUUAUAAAACUCCUCUUCUUCUUCUUCUUCAAUCCACUCCAUUUUCUUCAUUCCCUCAAAUGGUCUAACCUACAAAAUACACUCUCAAACUACUAAAUUCAAAACAUGGAGAACUACUCCUACACUUCUUACCGCUGAAUCCGGUGACUCUUCUCCCGUUCCCAUGAAAUUGAUUUCGAAAAUACCGCAACAUUGAAAGAUUCCAAUCAAAUCCCUAAUUAUAAGGUCUAAUUUAUGUGUAGUUAUGGUGGCAAAAUUAAUCCUAGACCACAUGAUAAUAAGCUUGCUUACAUUGAAGAUUCUGUCUUUCACCAUUUUCUUGCUUGCUUUUUCAUUCAAUGGACUCAAUUUUUCCACCAUUUUCAACAAAAACCUCAAAAUCAAACAGAGGAUUUCGAAGCAGAGUAAGAAUUUCUAGGUAGAUUCCAACGAGUGUUACUUUAUAGAUGAAAAAUGAUUUUGGCGAGUGUUAUUGUGAAUUCUGGUAGUGGUUCACUAGACAGUUUCCUUGAAUGUGAGUAGUGGUUCACUUAGCCGUAAAGAUAAGUUGCACUUCCUUAAGUCAUUUUAAUACAGGUAAAUAGUUAAGCAAGCAAAAAAACUGCACUUCUUUAAGUCAUUCCACUAAAAUAUUUUUUAUUAUUUUUGCUUUUUCAGUUUUGAUUUGAAAUCUUUGGCUGUUACAGUAGAAAAGCGUAACAAAAGAAAGAUUUGUUGGUAUCAAAUUAUAGAAUAAAAAUAUACUUAUUCUUUCUAUUUUUUUUUUAAAUUGUUAUUUGUCUUUAAUAGAAAAUAAAUAUUGUAUAUGCUUGCAAAGACUAUAUGGAUAUAUGGACACUGCAUAUGCAUGCAUAAAUUCCCCUUCUAUCUUGUUAUAGAAGUGUAUUAAUGUGGUAUAAAAGAGUAUCUAUUGGGUAUAUGGUCUCCUCUUUUUUUUUUUUUUAAAAAGUGUAUCAAUAUGGUAUAAAGUGUAUCAAUCUAAUAUAAAAAAGUAUCAAUUGGAUAUAUGGACAUUGCAUAUGCAUAGAUUUCUCUUUUAUCUUGUUAUAAAAAUGUAUUAAUGUGGUAUAAAAGAGUAUCAAUUAGGUAUAGGAUCCCCUCUUUUUUUUUUAAAAAGCGUAUCAAUCUAGUAUAAAAGUGUAUCAAUAUGGUAUAAAAGUGUAUCAACUGAGAAUAGAAACUGCAUGUGGCCUACUGGGCAAAUGGCUAAAAGAAGAAAUAAAUUUACCCGAUAGGCUACAGUUGUCCACCUUUUCAACUGUGGACCAUUUUUUAAAAAUGGGUCAAUUCAUAUUCUUUUCCCUUCUUUUAUUAUAUUUUAGUUAUUGGGUAUUUUUUUGUUGUUAUUAUUUCCAUAUUAGUUAUUAAUUUUUUAGUUAUUGUUUUUCAUAUUCAUACUUACUUUGAUUUGUUAUAAUUAAGCGGAGCAUCAUUUGAAAACAACCUCUUGAAAAGAAAAAGAUAGUGAUAAGGUGAACAUAACUUUACUCUCUACAGAUCGUAUUUAUGAAAUUUUAUUGUGUAUAUUAUUAAUUCGAACAAAUGGUGAUUAAUAGCUUACCACAUCACAAAAUAUUGUAAAUUGUAUUUAAGAAUAUUGUAUCACUACUUUCAGUGGAGACAAAAAUACUAUAGAGUUCUUCGCAUUUGUUGUAACUUUUAAUAGUCAAAAUUACCUGAUAGCUAUUAUUUUUGAAAGAUGCCAAAUAUUUGAUGAAAUUAUUCAGAGACAGUUAUGAAAAAGAAAUAUUUUAUCAAAUGAAUUUGAUAUAAUAAGAAUUAAAAUACAGAAUUAAAUUUUUUAAUACCUUAACCAUCCCAUAUCAUGAUCUCGUCAACAUAGUAGUAUUAUCCAUUCUGGAUAUGUCCUAGAAGACUUUUUAGUUUCCUUAGCACCGUAGAUUUCUUUGGGAGCAAGAAAUAAACUUUUGGAAAAAAAUAAUAAUAAUAAAUGUUUUAAUAAUAUUAAAAUAUUAAAUAAACAAUAAAAAAAGACCAAAGAAAUAUGGGAGCUUGCCCACAAAAAAGGUCUAUAAAAGUUGAGAAUCCUACACAUAAGCAUUUGGGUUUUCUAGUUCUAGUGAGAGAAGCGCGGCUUACGGUUACGCGUGGAUUCAUUACGUGACAUUACUCAUUCCUCUCUCUUCUUCUUCUUCUUCCUCCUUCUCCUGCUUACUGUUUCACCGUUUAUAUCGCUUACUUGAAUCUCAAUUUCUAGGGUUAGGGUUUUGAAAUCAUCUCUCUUUUUUUGUAUAUCGUAAUAUCUAUAUAUAUAUUAUAGUGAAAUCUUAAGGUUCGGCGGGCUUACCUGGAACGCUACUCUUUACUGUCGACUGUCUACUGAAAUCUUUACCUACACAUGGCGUCUAUGGACUCAUCUAUUGUCAUCAAGGUUCGAUUUUCCGGCUCUUCCUUUUUUCUUUAAAAUUAAUAUAUGUUGUUUAUAUCGCCUUCCAUGUUGGCUUUCUGUUUGAGUUGAUGAGGACAUCUGUCUUUUAUUUUCUUUAAAAAAUUGCUAAUUUGUGUUAUUGGUUGUGGAUUUGAUGUACUCUUUGUUUGAGGGCUAAAUUUGUGUUAUUUCUUUCUUCCAAUACAAUGAGCUGGGGCUUUUUUUUUUUUUUGGGUGAACGAAAGUGGUUAAUUAAAAUUGACUACUUUCUGCAAGUCUUUUUGGGUGUUGUGUUCUGUUCUGUUCAUGAUUGUUUGCGCUUAUCUGUUUUUAAGAAUUGCUGUUUAUUCAUAGUAAAAAUCUUGUUCUCACAUGCAAAUAUUUGAGGUUUUGUACAUACUCCCUCCGUCUCAUUUUACUUGUUCCAAUUUAACUUGGCAUAUUGAUUAAGAAAAAUAAUUAAUAACAUAGUCAGUUUACCAUAGUACCCUAUUAAAUGAGAGAGAGUAAUUAAUGCAAAGUUUAAAACGUGAAUUUUUUUUUUUCUCUUCUUCAUUUGUAAAAAAUGACAAGUAAAAUGAUAAAUCAAAUUAGGAGAUUUGGGACAAGUAAAAUGGGAAGGAGGGAGUAUGUUAGUGUUAGUUGAAUUAGCAUUUUGGGACUUUCUCCUUCUUCCCGUCUUGAUUUGGUUGAAUUGUUUCUUGUUUUGCUUUCUGGUUGAACUUUCAAUUUUCAAGGAAUGACAUUUUGUGGUUUGCCUUUUUCUUGUUGUGCCUUGUACUUGGUAGAGUAUUUACAUUUCUUUAUAUCACAGUAGUUUGUUCAACGAGAACAUCUUGGACUUCUUGUUAUAUGUUCUUUUUGAUUGAUACCCCUGUACCCGCUGCAUCCUACCAAGCUCAGGCGACAGGUAACCCUGUUCUCGAAGACUUGGACGGGGGAAGAAAUUACCAGCUGUUUUUGCUUCUGCUAGGAGUUGACUUUAAGACCUAUUUUCAACCCACUUUAUUGACCACUAGUCUUCCGACAUGUGUAAUAAUAUUGUUCAGCUAUGGCGGACGGCGGGGCUUUUGUGUUUGAGUUUGGUGGUGUCUAUUUUGUGUGGCUUACUUCAGCAGCUUUCAUGAUUUGCAGGUCAAGCAUGAAGAGACACUCAGGCGAUUCAAUGCCUGUGUCUGCAAUGAGAAGCUUGAUCUUAACAUUGAUGGAUUGAGAGACAAGAUUAUUCAACUUUUCAAUUUUGCUCAUGAUGCUGAGCUCACGCUAACAUACAUUGAUGAGGAUGGCGAUGUAGUAACACUUGUUGAUGACGAGGAUCUGCAGGAUGUUAUGAGGCAGGACCUGAAUCCCUUGAGAGUAUCUGUGAGGUUGAAUGCUGCUGAAAGAAGUGGCAGACCGUCAGCUAGAUCUAGUGGAAAUUCUACUCCCUUACGAUCACCUCAGGCUCAGCCUCCACUCCUGAACUUGAAUUCCCGUGUUACUGAUGUUCUCAAGUACAUUCCAGAACCUCUGCGCGAAUCUGUGAUGAAGGUCUGUUCUGAGCUGGCUACAUCGGCCUCAUCCUCAACUCCCAUCCUUGCGGAACUUGUUGCUGCUAUGUCUGAGAUGGGACUAUCUUACAACCAAAAUGAGGCUUCAGGGCCUCAGUCUGUCGAAGAAGUUGGCUUUCAUAAUGGAAUGUCUAAUGGAAAUACUAUGUGUGCUGAUGGAGGAAAGCCAAAUGUUAAAAGCGGAGAGCCAUCCGCGAAGAAGAAUGGGUCCCUCAAAGCACUACAUGGUGCAGAACUAACAUUGAAGACAACAGAACCAAAACCCACAGCCUCCAAUGAAGCUGCAGAUGCCUCGGUCAAUCUACUAUCUAAAUCAGAAACUCUGAAAGGUGAUCAAACUGAAGCUCAGUCAUCAUCAUUCAAGUAUCCCAAGGCUCAGACAUCGCUGGUAAACAGUGAGGAGGAGAAGAAAUUUAGUGUUGUCCAUGCUGGUGGAAAGGCUGUUGGAUAUGGAUAUUGGAGUGGCUCACCUAUUCCACCUGAAAAGCCUUCUGAUGAGCAGCAUCCAAGAUCUAAGCCGGUUGAUUUGGGUUGCUCUGCAAGUUCUGGUAAAUUGAAACAAUGCAACUGGGAUGCCCCUAAUGCAGAUUCCAGCGGCAGUUCAAUCAAGAUGCCUUAUGGCAGCGUCACUCCUACACGUCUAUUUCCAUUGUUGAACACUGUGAAUGUGAUUCCCAGUAAUGCAGGUUCCAGUGGCAGUUCAAUGAAGAUCCCAUAUGAUGGCUUCAGACCUGCCGUAAAUCAUCUAGUUCAGCUGAACCCUCAGAAUGAGUGUCCGUUUUCUGGGGUACCAACAGUAAAUAACCCUAUCCCGCCUCAGAAUGUCCCUUUUGAGGUCACACUUAAAAGAAGCCAUCAUCAGAGUGAUGGGACUGGGACUAUUUUUCAUAAAGGUGUUCGCUGUGAUGGUUGUGGGGUUCAUCCGAUAACUGGCCCUAGGUUCAUAUCUAAAGUGUAAGGACCCCGUAGUUGUAUUUAUUUGUUGUUUUUAUAUGAGUUGACAUAAACUGAUAUAGCCCCUGUGCUCUUGUAGAAAGGAGAACUAUGAUCUCUGCAGCAUAUGCUUUGGUGAAAUGGGAAAUGAUGCGGAUUACAUCAGAAUGGAUCGUCCUGUAACUUACCCGCAUCCCUGGUCUUUCAAGGGUUUACAUGCUCUGGUAUCGAGUCAUUUUCCAAAGUUCUCAUAACAUCUCAUCUCUCUGUUUCAGCUCUGUUGACUCCUUUUUUUUGGUUGUAUUAUAGCAUGGAAGGUUUCGCCCCCCAGUUGUCCCACAAGUCUGUCGAGGCUAUGGGUUGAAAGCAGGUCGGCCAAAGCUGGACAGCCGCUUCAUACAGGAUGUCAAUAUCCUGGAUGGAACCCUCAUGGCCCCCUUGACUCGCUUCACGAAGAUCUGGAGAAUGAAGAACAAUGGUAAUCUCAUCUGGCCUCAAGGAACUCAACUUGUUUGGAUUGGGGGAGAUAAAUUAAGUGAUAGAUUCUCUGUUGAAUUAGAGGUGAGAAGUUCUGCGGAGUUUGGUUUCUUUGCUUGUCAUUCCCUCUUGUUGACAGUUGCUGAACUAAUUAUCUGGGAAGUUUUCACGAUAUGAUGUCAUAUGCAUUGCAGAUAACUACAGCUGGCUUGGCUGUUGACCAGGAACUUGAUGUAGCAGUUGAUUUUACUGCUCCUGAGCAUCCUGGUAGGUAUAUAUCCUACUGGAGGUUGGCUUCGUCCUCGGGGCAGAAAUUUGGCCAGCGUGUAUGGGUACUUAUCCAGGUCAGUGUGGUUUGGUUGUCUGGGUAUCCUUGAUGAUUCUGAUCUAAUUUUGAUGUUAAGAAUAUCCCCUCCUUGUUCAUGCAGGUUGAUGCUUUAUUAAACCUGCCAAAGAAGGGGUUGGUCCACGAGGCUUUUCAGGGGUUGAACUUGAAUUUACCUCCUGCCAGCAGUGUUAUGUCCGUCACUAGUCCUGAUAUUGUAAAUGUGAAUCCAGUGCCUCAGAAUGUCCUUCCUGAACCUAAGAAGAGCUCUAGCACAAUGGAGUUGGUUGAUUCAGUGACUGAAGUAAACCAAAACAAGGAGCAGGAGGCCAAAUUUCCUAUUAAUGAUAGCUUGUUGGUUGGUGUUGGCGACAAGUCAAGUUCUCCAUCUGCUCCUGCUUCACCAAUUUCAUAUCCAAUUAUUGAUUUAACUGAGGAAGCACCAGCGGAAUCUUCCGUGGCACCAUCAGCUGCUGUAGCUAUGAAGGCACCAUUGCAGGAUGUUGGAGGACAUAAUGAAGUUGAGAUGUCACUCCUCCAGGAGUUGGAGGAAAUGGGUUUCAAGCAGGUAGAUCUGAACAAAGAAAUCUUGAAGAAGAAUGAGUAUGAUUUGGAGCUGUCAGUUGAUGAUCUCUGUGGCGUUGAGGAGUGGGAUCCUAUGCUCGUAGAGUUGGAGGAGAUGGUAGGUUAAUUUAGACAUCAAAGAAUAACUUUUGAGUUAAACUUGUGCAAGAAAUAAUUCUAGGUUGUUUGACUUGUAUACUGAUUUUGUGAGUGCAGGGUUUCUGCGAUAAAGAAAUGAACAAGCAGCUGCUUAAGAAGAAUAAUGGAAGCAUCAAGCGUGUUGUCAUGGAUCUUAUUGCUGGAGAGCAGCAGUAGAUAUUUAAUGUUUGUGCUAUAGGGUGAUGGAUAGUUUGGUAUGAAUAAAUGGUAGCAUGCAACACCAUCGUUUCAGUUUCUGUUUGUCCAGUAUGUUUUGGUGACUGCGUCUAUUAUGGUUUGACAAAAACUCUUUUUAAGUUAUGUUAGUUGAACUAGCUGUGUAAUAUAUGCUCUGGGUUGUAUCGUAUGUCUGAACAUGUGAUGUUUGGUGUUUAAUGAAUAUGAAUGUUUAUCAUCUUUAUAGCCACUAGUCUCGGAGAAUAUCACCUUCCUGUUAAGAAGUGCGAGGCUUGUAUCUAAUAUUCAAGUAUUAGCUGGUUUUUUCGGUCAUUGGCUAGCGGUUCUAUUUAGGUUGCUGGUAACUGUCUUUCACGAAUAUAUAUAUAGAGAGUGGGGAGUCCUUGCAUGUUUCUGUCAUUCAUGUGCUGGAUGUUUUAGACUUUCUAGACCUGCUUGAACUUGCAAGGCCGUACGAUAUGUUUGUUUCACCAACAUUGUAAAAGAUAUAGGCAACUUGUAUUAAUAGUAUAAGUUGUUGCAGAUUGUUGCGACUUUGAUGAUGCCUACUUGACAUUGACGUUUGAUUCACCAUUUCUACCUAUUUUGUUCCACUUUUUCUAGACAAAAUAAAGAUCAAUCUUGCUCUUAUUGGCGUAUCAAGAUGGUAGAUUUCAGUGGGUAAAUAUUUUCCAGAGACAAAUAAAUAGCCAAUGUUCUCAAACCAACACAGAAGAAACUCAUCAAACUACCCUUUUACAAUCUUAAAAUAGAUACGUUUUAUGAUAUUAUAUUGAAACACGUGCUACAGAUGAGAGAGAUUAAUUUUGCCUUGGGUUGAAAAGAUGGGCAACAUCAGGAUUGGGAGUUAACAUUAGUUAAAAUUUGUUUUGUUACCUAGUUUACACCUAGCCAAUCAGUCCUCAAGUAUGCCAAUCUAUAGUUAUAAUGAUAUUAUUUCUCAUUUUAAUUUGAGGGUGGAGUGAGAAUUCGAAAUUUUAUUGAUUCUGAACUUAGCCAUCAAACUCAUAGCUUGUCUAGUUACCAGAUUUUCACAUUUAAAUAUUUGUAUACAUUUAAUGAAUUUCCUGAUAUGCAAACGUAACCCAUUGUGGAUGAGUAUCCACAAUUUCUAUAGUAACAUUUUUCAGAAGCUUCCCGUUGACGAAUGGAUCAUUCUCCUCAUCCAAGUGCCUAAGUAUACAAAUAUGAAAUGCUAAAAAUACAUGGGCAUUNNNNNNNNNNNNNNNACAAUACAUGGUCAUUCCUGUUUCACAUUUGUACACUUUUUUAGGAAUCAUAUCUGUUCGUAAAUACUUUGCAACAACGCCUCCAAGUGUCUAAUAAAAAUCUAUUCCUUGAAAAAGUUAAAAGCUCUUUUGAUGCUUUGCCAAAAUAUCAACGGUUGGACAGUAACUAAAGAGAAGGAAUUGGAUUCACUUGCAACUCUCAACAUUUAUCACUUUGGAAUAUUUUAGGCGAUGUGUUUGGGCCUUUAAAAUCUGUUGCUCAAGCUGCAAUUACUCUGCAGCAAGAACAAAGCUAAUUACUUGAGCAAAAUAUGGGAUCCAAGCAGUAUUGGAAAUCGACUGUUAGUUCUGAUGACGAAUACCUGGAUCAUAUUAAAAGAAUGGAGAGAGCCCCAACCAUGCACCCUGAUGUUCCUCUCUACCCCAACGUCUUCUCUGUUUUCAAGAACAAGCUAAUUUAUAAGGGGCAAAAGAACAAUGCCGCGGAGUCACAGAAGAAGGUCCAGUUCACGGAAACUGCCAAGAAUGAUAAAGAGAAGCCCAAGGGUUUUGAGCUUCACAAAUGGAGGACUUUCAAAGUGUCAAGUUAAAGGCUUUACAUCUUAUUAGCACUCACUCUUCUUCAAUAAUAUACAUAGUACGCUAUGCAUAAACAUACACAUGCUUGUCUUACGAUCACUUUGUUUCCCAAAAGAAGAAUUUCAUGUUUACUUUGUUGUACCAGUAGAGCUGAUCAGUUGAUUUGUACUUUUGAUUUGGUCUAUCUAAUAGAAAAUAUAGUAUUAUGUAUAAAGUUAUCAGGUUCCAGCUAUUUAAUUGAGUAGAGGAAGAAUAAUAUCUUAUCGCUUUGGCUUGAUUGCUUUCGCCAGGUCUACUGACUUUUGCACCAGAUUAAAUUGAAGCCUUUUUUCGACAUCCCUUCUAAAGUAUUGAUCCUUAAUUACUGCAGUAGUAAUCUUAAGACUCUUAACUCCUACUCACUUUUACACCAGAUUAAAUUGAAGCUUUUUUUCUACAUCCCUUCUAAGUAUUGAUCAUUAAUUACUGCAGUAGUAGUCUUAAGACACUUAACCAUGUGACUAUGUCAAAAGAGAGGAUGAGCAAGAUCAAGAAAACAAAUCUAUAGGCAGAAAAGUAACAAAGAAUGUAUAAAUAUGACUGUAUCAAAACAGAUCAGACCCGCAAAAUUGCUGGUUUGAGGACAAUGAGAACUGCAAUGGAAGAACUUAAUGGAUUAACAUCGUAACAGCAGCCAACAUCAUGAACAACUGUUUUCUUUUUCUAUUCAUCAUUCUGUGCAACUUCAAAAUCUUGAUGUAUGUAUCACAAAUUCAGAUAAAAGAGGAAUUAAAUAGCUCAGAAGACAUCAGAAAUUCAAUGUCUUAAAAUAUUAUUUUAGCUCGCUUUUUAGGCUUAGCUAGUGAAUCUAAAAUCUAAAGUGAAACAGAUCUUUAAACAUUAUUUACACAAAGAUACGGUAGUUCAAAAGGGACAAACAAGUUUUCAAUUAAGUGAGAUUCUUCAAGUUUCAAAAAUUAGGUAGAAGGGACAAAAAAAGAAUUUCAGUUUUUUUUUUAAAAAUAUUUUCGCUCCAACAAUUUAAAGUUGUUCGACAAUUUUGAUAGUUAUUGAGAUAACUAAUACAUUUGUUAAACAACUGUCCCGAUUGUUUAAACAACUUUAUCUUUUUUAACUUAAUAAUUUUAUGGGAUCUACCUGUCCCUUUUUUUAAUUAAAGACUUAGAAAGGAAAAUUAGCAGAAUAUAUUAGAUGCUUUCCAUCUAUAAAAGGGGUCCAAAACCUGUAUUCUUAGGACACCACAUAGAUUGAGUAGUAUUGUCACCACGAACAUUGGAAGGGGAAUAUUAAAAUAACUUAGUGUAAUUUGACGUAAACAUGAGACGUGUCACAAGCUUCCUGAUGACGAAUUGAUAUUCCUCCUUUUUCAAAUGCCCAAGUGUGAAACACAAAUAUCCGUGUAUUGUAUUAUACAAUUCGUACCUGCAUAAUAGAACUACUUUUUAAGGAAUCAUAUCAUGUAGGAGCUGCUGCUUUUUAAUGGAAAAUCACUGAGCAAUGUAACGUCUGUUCUUAAAUAUUAACAAGUUGCAACAAUGCCUUGAAAGGGGAAAGGGUCCGAAAUAUACCUAAACUCUGGCGAAAUUUGUUGUAACACGCCUCAACUUUGCGGGGAUCCUAUGACCUCCUAGAUCAUUUACUAUCGUAUUUCUGUCACAUAUAUUUGCUUAGUUGGACCAUUUCAGAGCCUCACGAGCUCAGUGUGUAGGUAUUCACGCAAUGGUUCAGCUGACAAAUAUAUGCCACACAAAUAUGAUAAAAAAUAAUCUAGGAAAGUCAUAGGGAGCCACAAAGUUGAGGCGUGUUGCAACAAUUUUCGUCAAAGUUUAGGUAUAUUUCGAACCUUUUUCUCGCCUUAAAAUGUCGGUAACAUAGGUUCUUAAAAAAGUCUGUCCUUUUGAUUCUCUGCCGAAAUAUCAACAGUUGGAUACCGAAUAAUGAUAAGGAAUCAGAUUCAGUUGUAACUCUCAGCAUCUAUGUGUGCUUCUGGAACAUUUUAAGCACAGUGUUUGGCCUUUAAAAUCAUCAAGAACAAGGGUAAUUUACUUUUGAGGAAAUCAAGAAAAGAUGAGACGAUCCAUGCAGUAUUGGGAACCAACGUCCAAUGAGGAGUACCUUGAUCAUCUUAAGAAAAUGGAGAAAGCCCCAACCAUGCACCCUGAUAUUCAUCUUUACCCCAACGUUUAUUCUGUUUUCAAAAACAAAUACCAAGGACAAGAGUCUAGCUUGAAUCGUCAAAAGACUCUCGACACAGAUUCGCAGAAGAAGGUCCAGUUCACGGAGUCUGCUGAAUUGAACAAGAAUGAUAAAGAGAAGAACGAUGACGUGCAAGCUGAUGGCUACAUCGAUCAGAAGAACAAGAGUUUUCAGAUCCACAAAUGGAGGACUUUCAGUGUGCCAUGUUAAUCCAUCUUAUUGGCUGCACCAGUGUUCGUUAGUAAUCUACUAGAUAUGUUACCUCUAUAUGAAUGCAUGACUCUCUUAGUCUCUUACAAUCAGCAUAUAUCGAAAAGAAUAAGGGAAAAUAUCAAAGAAAGAGCUAUCUUUCAUGUUUACCUUAUUGUACCCACAGAGAUCAGUAGAUUUGUACGUUUUAUUUGGUCUAUCUAAUAGAAAAUAUAGUACUGUACUACUGUGUCUUGCAGUUAUCUGGUUUAUCUCGUCGAUUAACCUUUUCUGAUCCAAGGAUUUUUAUCUUUUGCCUUCAUAAAUAUCAGAUGAAAGCUACACGUAAAUAUGGGCUAAUAUAUUUCAGGAAACAGUUGAAACAAUAUAGUGCGAAUAUUUACUCAAGCAGUAGAAGAAUAUAUAUUGAUCCAUAGUUAUUGCUUGAGUACCAACUAUUAAAGUAACCAGCUGAGAUGAAGGUACGAGUCUCUCUAAGUCAUGUGAAAAGAAAUGACGAGCAAGACGAUAAGAUGGAUCUAUUAGUCGAAAAGUGACAAAGAGAUAGAAACACGAUAGUAUUGAAGCAGAUCACCUGCAAAAUUGGUGUUUCAGGACAAAAAGAACUAAAAUGAAAGAACUCAACGGAUUAGCAUCAGAACAGCAGGCAAUGUCACGGAAAGGAGAGAGUAUUAGGACAACUUUUCUUUUCAUCCUUCAGAGUAAAUUCAAGAGCUUGAAAUAUGUAUGACGAAGGAGGAAUUAAAUAGCUCAGGAGACAGCAGAAAUGCAAUGUUUUAAAAGAUAAUUUUAGCUUGCUUUGUCAGAAAAAGUAGACUCAGCUAGUGAAUUUCAAACUGAAGUUUGAGCGAUCAUUAAACAUUUGGGCAACCUUUUCUGUCACCCCAAGGAUGUAAUAGUUCUUUAGCAGCUAAAAUUUCUCUCUUGGGGAAAUUUAACAGAAUAUAUUAUUAGAUGUUUUACCAUGGAGUUUAUCCAAAGAUUUCAGAACCUGAAUUCAUAGGACACCACAAAUAUCGAAUAGUAUCAUAAACACGAACAUUGGAAGGAAAGUGUAAUUUGAAUACUUGCAACCGCUAUAGAAUCAUCAAUUAAACCAUAUUGCCAGUGUUAUGUUUGAAAACAUCAAGAACCUAUGUUGCUCAAACUCUUCGAAAAUGUUGUCGAGUGUGUGUAAAAUCCUCCAAAAUUAGUACACUCUUUGAGGAUCCGACACGGGUGUAGCAUAUUUUCGGAGAGUUGGAGCAACGUAGUCAUAAAGUGAGGUGCUCUAUUAUUAGGAAUGGGAAGAAGAGGAGAACAUUGCUUCCUGCUUUUGAUUCUUAUCUGUUAAAACUACUUUCUUAUCCAAGUUUCAUCAUGAAGCUGAAUAGAAUCUAACCCUACUAAUAUGGCUCUAACGAAGCCAAAAGUUUCAAACUAGAAAGCGUACAAAUUACAACAUGUUUGUUCUUCCAAGAUUUCUUAUUGGAUGGAUGGUGCUGAUAUUUCUCAAGACCAUAAAGUUCAGAAAAUUAUUCUUUAAGGUCUUCAGUAGGCUUAUUCUUCUUCUCUACUUGCUGGAAUAUCCACGGUUUGAUACAGACUAAAGGGAAAGGCAUCCGAUUCAAAGGCAAUUUUUGUGCCCCAGUAGUUAAUCAAAUAAGAAUACUCAGCUCAAAUAUUUUGUCUAUAAAAUGCUGUACUUGUUAAGGCAUUAGCAUAUCAAUCGAAAAAACACAAAGGAAAAAUGUAUUGGAUAUCACGUGGCCCGUCCUUUGAGCAGCCCUAUUCGGAGAGAUCCGGUGAGGAUUACAUUGCUGGCAGAACAAGAAUGCCAGUAGUUGAAUCUGCUGUAUACAGGUACCCAAAUGGACAAGUCAUGAUCAAAGAGGAGAGAGUCGUUUUUGAAGAACAACGCAAUAUGUCUGGCAAUUGGUAUAAAUACGACUUUCCUAGUGGAAAUCACCAUGGCUAUCGUGCUCCUGAAGCUCACAAGAAAGUUCACUUCGCGGAGCUUGACAAAACAACUGGAGUAGGUAGGAAUGGAAAAUAUGAAGCAAUGGGGGAAAAGUUUGAAAAUAAAGAUGAUAGCUUCAUCCAAAGGAAUCACAAGAACAAUAUGAAUGGCAAUCAGUAUAAAUACAACUUUCCUAGUGGAUAUCGCUAUGGGUCUCCUGACCCUGAAGCUCAAAAGAAAGCCCACUUUGUGGAGGGUGACAAAACCAAUGAAGUCGGCAGGAAUGGGAAACGUGAAGUCACAGACGAAAAGGUUGAAAAUAAUGAUAGCUUCAUGCAAAGGAAUCACAUGAACAUGAUGUAUGGCAAUCAGUAUAAAUACAACUUUCCUAGUGGAUAUCGCCAUGAAUCUCCUGCCCCUGAAGCUCAAAAGAAAGCCCAGUUUGUGGAGCGUGACAAAGUCACUGAAGUCGGUAGGAAUGGGAAACAUAAAGUCACAGAGGAUAAGGUUGAUAAUGAAGCUGAUAGCUUCAUCAAGAGGAAACUCAAGAGCUUUGAGCUUGCAAAGAUGGAUACUUUUAAGGUCUAUUGAGCAUGCGACUAGUUGCUAGGCAGGCAGCAAUACAGUUACGUUGAUCAUUAGAUCAUCGAUUGAAUCAUUAGUAUAAUAAAAUGUCUGUCUUAUAGCAAUUGACCAUAGACUGUAUUUACUGUUCUAUUUACUUCAUAUCUGUAUGCAAGUACUUGAUAUGUAAUGAAAUAUGAAGAUACUAGUUAUUUGGUCAUCCUUUGCAACUUGUUAAUCAAAUAGGACUGGCUUUGGUAUCAUCAAAAGUUUUCCCCUCAUCUAAUCCAUCUUAAACUUAGAAGAAUCAAGGCUCAUUUUCAACAAUAUCCAAAGUUAACAGGUUGUCCAUCUUACAAAAACAAAUCUCUACUUUAUUCUGUCAUCACAAGCCACAUUUAGCAGAAAAGGGAGAAGCGCAAUCUGCAAGUUCAAAGUAGAAAAAUAAACAAAGCAAUUAAAGAAAGAAAUAACCGUUUUACUAAGUAUUUAAGUUAUAUACACUAACAAUUAACGCAGUUUUACACUAUUACUGUAGUUUCACUGGUUAUAGCAGGUAACUACUGUAAUUUACUGUAGUUUUCAGGUUAUCAGAUCAAACUUGACAUACAUCCUUAGUUGUUAUUGUAAACCAACUUAACCUGAUGGUAUAAGAAAACUUAUGUACUGUCCGUGCACAGAAAUUAGACUCUUAUCACUGAUAGUUUGUUAAUGAGCUCCUUUAUAUGAUACAUUGCCUCUCUGUUCUUUACUGUAAUGUUCAGCCCUCUUGCACAAGACACUCACAAAUUACUGCUCCCUCCCCACCCCUUCUAGAUUAGGAGGGCCAUCUCGGGGUCCACAACGGUCCCUUCAAGUUCCAAUCUUGAAAGAAUCUUUCAAAACAAGGUACAAUAAUUCAGUUGAGGAAAGAGGAACAUAUUUUGUAAAUCUCCUAUCUCUAAGGCAUAUGAUUCGUUUUCUAUUUAGUGCAAGUGCAACCAAUCUUCUAGCUGAUGUGAAAAGUGUAGGGACUUCGACUCGUGGGACAAGAAUUUGAAAAAAAAAAAAGACAUCUCCCACCCGUGGCUAAAUGCUAGCCACGCGUUGUUUUGUCAAUUUAUUCAUCCAACUGGUGGAUGUAGCUGCAGUCUUCAGCACAAUGCAUCUUGUGCAGCCCUCAGCUGAGUGACGUCAUGUAUAUGAAAAAUCACGUAAAAGGUGAAGAAGAAUCAGAAUAUACAGCAACGAUAUAUUCAGUAAAUCUAUGGGUCUAAGGAGGGUAGAGUGUACACGGACCUUACCUCCUCUACCUCAGAGGUAUAGAGAGAGAGGAGUUGUUUCCAAUAGACCCUCGUCUCAGAAUCCGCAUAUGUGAAUACGAAAAAUAAUGAGAAACAGAGCUCUCUGGGCUUCUUUAAGAAAACCGAAACCAAUUUUUGUAUAUUACAACUUCGAAUAUUAGCCACAAAAAAUGGAAAGUUUCCGGUCAAAAUUUAACCAUCCUUAUCUAGUGUUAAAUCAGCUUCAUUAUAUCUUCUUGAAGACACCCUAUUGAGCAAAUUUCUUAAGCUAUUCUUACUUUCUUUCCGCUUCUGUCCAAUUCGGAUUGGCUUAUCCAAUGGAUGGUCUAGCACUAACCCAGUUUCUAACUUUUUGGACACAUUGAGAAUCUCAUAAGAAUCCCAUAGGGACUGGCUGAAAUCCCAGCUGCCUGUGCCAUCAUAUUCUCUGGCAGUUGCCUUGUUCAUAGCUUCAACCUUGAAUCUUGAUGGCUUAUUCUUGAAACUGUGGCGGUGGGCGUCGAAUUCGGCAGUGGUUCUACGGCUGCUGGAGUGGCCAUGCCAGGCUUGUGCUACAGCCUUGAGUAUUUCAACAUCAUGUUGUUCAUCUUGUUGAGGUUCCUGCUUUUUCUUCAUAGUAUGUUUAGAGUGACUUUUGCCUCAAGUCGUUCUUGUAUGGGCCACGUUAUCUUGAGACAAGAAGAACCUCAUGUUGGUGACUUUAGGUGAUGUAAACUUGUAACGUAACUCUAUAGUGGCCUUAGGUUAGGAAGAUGUACUCUUCAAUAGGGGGAGGUAGGGAUAAUAAAUUUUGGCACACACAAAAACAAUAUAAAUAUCUACCCUUUAGUUUUCUAGAAAAUACUUAUUUGGCACUUUAAUUUAUCACACAUUCAAGGAUAAAAUUAAUAGAAUACAACAACAUACCCCAUCUAAUCCCACGGAUCGAGGUCUAAGGAGGAUCUUACCCCUAGCUCGUGGAGGUUAGAGAGACUUUCCGAAACUAUAAGUUUAAUAAAACCCUUUGUGCUUGUGACAUAUUUUGUAUUUAACAUAAUGGUAUAUAAAGUAUUGGAUUGUCAAAGUUCAAAUAAUAGUAAAAAGGGGUUUAGUUCUUGAAAAUGUAAGCCGCGACCUGAGACUUAUUCUGAAAGAGAACCCAGGGGCAAAUAAACUAUAAUUCAAACUGCAUAUUACAUGGCUUCAGAUCUUCAAUAGAACAGCACUACAGUUUACUUGUAUUACUUGAAAAUGAAAAUAUUGGCACGACAUUCGGAAGUAGCAUAGUCAGGCCCUUGGAAAAAGGCAGCCAACUCAUUAGAUCCCACUGCAAAUGGCCCUUGAACAUCGUGGGAACUCUCAUUCUGUAGUUGAAUGUGGCAACCAAGUAGUGAUGAAAGAUCUAGAUUUGAUGAAAAGCUGAAUGAAACCAAAAGCAGACCUCUCCUAGUUGUAAACAAAACUCAAUGGCAAAAGGAAGAGUUAAAAAACCAAAAGCAGCUAAAAGAGCAGUUUAAACGAAGUUAAGUGGCUCUUUUAACGUAGCACAAGAACUUUAAACCUAUUAACCAGUAACAAGAAACUCCAGAAAAUCCAAUAUAAUAAAUGAACUAAGUUCUUUGUAUAAAAUUUAGAAAUUUUCCAACGCAUUAAUAUUGCAUGUUUGAGUGUGCAUAAUACAAAUGAAAAUCACGUGACGGCCAUAGCUGAACUUCUCAGAUGCAUGUUGGCGGUGACGUCUCAAACUGAAGUAGCUUCUUAGCUUAAUCUCCAAAAUCGACAGUUCAGAGUGAACGUGGAAAACAACAAUUGUAGCGAGGCGGGUUGUAGUUUCCAAUGUUAAUGACUGCUAGUUUCAGAAAUUCCAUCAGUUCAAUCAUCAGGCUGGCAGCAGAAGCAGAAAGAAACUCAAGACACUUCUGCAGAGUCAAAUUUGUUGAUUUUUUUUUAAGUUCCAUCAUUUGAGUAAUCCUACAACUGUUAAAUGAGACACUACCAUGGCAAAGCUUUAGAAAUGAGAUGCAUCUACUACAGUCCUUCAACUCAUAAGAAUUGACAACACUAGUGGACAUGAGUUGCAGAAUUAAAUCAAACAGACAUAAAUGUCAAUCAAUAUCAUACCAGAGGAGAAUAAUUAGGGAAANNNNNNNNNNNNNNNNNNNNNNNNNNNNNNNNNNNNNNNNNNNNNNNNNNNNNNNNNNNNNNNNNNNNNNNNNNNNNNNNNNNNNNNNNNNNNNNNNNNNNNNNNNNNNNNNNNNNNNNNNNNNNNNNNNNNNNNNNNNNNNNNNNNNNNNNNNNNNNNNNNNNNNNNNNNNNNNNNNNNNNNNNNNNNNNNNNNNNNNNNNNNNNNNNNNNNNNNNNNNNNNNNNNNNNNNNNNNNNNNNNNNNNNNNNNNNNNNNNNNNNNNNNNNNNNNNNNNNNNNNNNNNNNNNNNNNNNNNNNNNNNNNNNNNNNNNNNNNNNNNNNNNNNNNNNNNNNNNNNNNNNNNNNNNNNNNNNNNNNNNNNNNNNNNNNNNNNNNNNNNNNNNNNNNNNNNNNNNNNNNNNNNNNNNNNNNNNNNNNNNNNNNNNNNNNNNNNNNNNNNNNNNNNNNNNNNNNNNNNNNNNNNNNNNNNNNNNNNNNNNNNNNNNNNNNNNNNNNNNNNNNNNNNNNNNNNNNNNNNNNNAGGGAAAGAUAGCUACCCCACAACUAAAUUUGGCGGGAAUAAUGUAGUAAAUAGGAAUAUUAGAUGAUUUAAGAAGUGACUUUUCAUUAUUGUGCUCACUCUUAUUGUUACUAAUGGACACAGCGCUCCCCACCCCACCCCCCGGUCUGGCGCCUCCUUGGUGGAAAGUCAGAUAAAAAAGCCAAACAGGAGAGGUGAGAACUACAAACAUCAUGGAAGAAACUACGGAUGUCUCACCUUUUUCUAAGUCCUUACGUCCUUCCACAUUAUCUAUAACCACUACAAGUGAGCAUUAAUAGUACUCUAUUUAUUUAUUACUGUGUGAUUCAUUUGAAAGAACCACAAUGCUGAAAUCAAGCUUUGACCUUUCUCCUAAAUUAUCAAGCAAACAACUAAAUCAGACUAUCAGAGCAUAUAAUCCUCCAACAAAAUCAUAGAAUCCAAAAGUUAGCAUAAAACAACUCCAGAAGCCCUUCAUAAUUCUUAAUUGCAGUAUUUGGAACUUACACUUUGUCAAUAUACUAUUUAUAGUUUAUGUGCUCCUACCAGUGGCACUUUCAUAUAGCAUUCUGACAUAUGUUCCACAAGAAAACUUACUAAUCUUCUUUUUAUUGAGAUAGGUAGAAGCCUACGAGUCAUCUUUAUGGUAAACAAAAAACAAGCCAACUAAAAAAUAUUACCUCCAAUAAAUUUCUUUACAGAGCAAAGGAAAACAUUUUUCUAAGGGUUUUCCGCAAUAUAUGUGAUAUUAUGCCACUUCCACUAAUGUGCAGAGAGCUAACUAAAAAAUUAUAAUGACAUUGCAUCCCUUUUCGACCAGAGUUCUACUGUUCUAGCUAACUUUGCAGUGAAAUUAGGGUGUAAAAGAUUUCGCACAAAGCCAGCUGUAAAAUUAUCAGGUUCACUUGUAGUUCUUCUCUUGCAAGAGGAUUGAGGAAUAGGUGAUUGAUAUUGCAUAGCAAGUGUAUGUCAGUAAGAGAAGGUAUCUUUUUCUUGAGAAAGUUUGUCUGAGCAAGGUCCCUUUUUUUACUGAAAGAAAAGGUUAUUGUUUAGAUGAACUCUUUUAGCUACAAAUAUUAAACCUGAACUAGUGAAAAGCUUUUAGAGUUUUACAAUGUAAUUGGAUAUUUUCUUCAACUGGACUGAGAUAAUGACUUUUAGUCUCAUUGAUCAAUUAAAUAUCAGCUGGGGUGCACAGUAAGAAUCUACAAUUUUGUCAAAACAACCGCAACGGAAAUUAAAACCUGAUGAACAGUUGCUGCAUUUUAUUACCUGGUUUAGGCACCAAAACAUGUUGCCAUCAAGAAAAUUGUGCAACAGCCUGCAAUUUCGUGUCUUAUAUUUGAUGAGAUGCUCUGGUUACUCUAGUUUGCCUUUUUGAGGACUUUGACUCUUCUUUUUGUAACUAGUAACUUUCAUUAAUCACCACAAGCAAUAUUUACAAAACCAGUCCGACCAACACUGUCCGCUAAAUCCAGAAACUUUGACUCUUUGUUCUUCUUUUUUAAUUAAAAAAAUUAACAGUGGUGUCUGGUCCAACUUGCAGGCACCUCGACUAAUUCCACGGGCUACCUCAUACCUGCUACCUCCCCACCAGCAUAGAUCUGGGCCGACUUGAUGACUUUGACUCUUUUGUUCAAACAGUUUCCUUUGGAUGACGGUUCAUCAUGGUUUCAGCUAAUGGUUAUAGUCUUACAUUUGCUAUCAUAGGUAGCGAAGCAAUUCUUGAAAAUCCAACAAACAGUCGAGGAAGAAAACAAUCUGGUAAUAGUCAAAAUAGGUGAGAGUUCCAAACUGAAAAUUUCAGGUGCACAGGUUAUAAUUGAACUGGCUAAUCGCUAGGAAUAUUAUGCAGUUAAACAUAUAUAAAUGUGGAAUAUAUGUAGGGUGGUGAUCACCCAACCUCCCAGGUUUCACUAGUUUUGAGACAGAAUAGCACUAAAUAAUGAGUCUCAAGGCUCAUUGCAUCCCGGUAAACAACUGUGUGAAGCAGCGGAAGCAUGUGAGUAAUCAUUUUGCCACUUCUAUCAAGUAAAUAUAUGAGCAUACAAUUGUGAAAUAAAACACAACGAAAACAAGGAAAUCACCCGUAUUCAGGUUCCGAGUGGAAGAUCUUAAAGGUGUGAACCUGGCAAGACUUUUGCAUGUAUUGAUUGAACCACCUAAUAUAAUGACAUCCGGAGCUAUCUGAUUAACUUGUGUAUUUAUCUUUUCAAGUUGAAGAACCUGGAAAGGUUAGCAUCGGGGGCUCUUAUCAGAUACUAACUUCAAUCGUCCUCUCAGAUUUUACUAAUUUCACUUUGUGCCUAAGCAGAGGUCGAGCUCUCCUGGGAGAACCUUUUCACUUUUCCACUGUUAGAAUUUGAAGAACCAAAGAGGCCACAAAUUGCUGGGUGUUGGCGAAUAUGAUGUGGGCACUUAUAGAGCAGAUCUUUUGCCUCAGAAUGUCUACCUUCUGCAAAGAAGGACCGGAAAACAUGUUGGUAGGCUGAAACAGAUGGAUAGUCCUUGAAGCUCAACGUCUUCAAAAACUCCACUGCAUCUUCCACUGUUCCUGACUUUGAAAUGUAUCGAUGAAAGGGUUCUGGAAAAGGUGGAUAAUUGUGUUUCUUCAUCCGACGGAGAAGAUCUAGCGCUUCUUCGAGUUUCCUUUCCCCUAAGAGCUUUUGAAUGAUAAGUUUGUACGUUGCUUGCCAGGGGCGCAUUUGAAACUUACUCACCAGCUCGGUCAAUAACUGAUAUGCACCAAAAACUCUUCUUUGACUUAUAAAACCAUUAAGAAGUACAUCCAACAGAUCAGCAUCUGUAUCAACAUUUCUCUCCAUCAUCUUAGCAAAACAAAACAGCGCUUUAUCAACUUCACCAGCAAAAAAAUGUCCUUGAAUCAGAACAGUCCAAGUCUUUAUAUCUGGAAUGCAUCCACAUUCUUCCAUCACAUCUAUCACCUUUGAUGCCUCCUCCAGCCUCCUCACUUUGCAAAGUCCAUAUAUUAAUUGGCUGUACGUAAUAUUGUCGGGUUCAAAUCCUGAAUCUCUCAUAGCUUCUGUUACCUUCUCUGCUUCCUCAAAUCGCCCCAAGGUUGUGUAACACCUAUGAAUGACAUCAUAAAUAAUCUUUGAGCGUGAAUGACCUGCGGCCUCAAAUUUUUCCACAACUCUAAAUAUCAAAUCAAGAUUUGAGGGAUGUGACUGUGCAAUGGAUCUUAAAAGAAUAUUGCACUCGCCAAGUGACGGUUUAAACUGACCAUCCAUCAUCAACUCAUAUAGUUCUACUGCAUCUUUCAACAUCUUAAUCUUCUGAAAAUGUCUUGAGAUCUUUAUAUAUGUAUCAAGAUCUAUUUCAAAACCCAAGCUCUUCAUCUCUUUUACCACACCCCAAAACUCCUCAAUCGACUCUUCUCGACAAAGAACCCUCAGAAUCCCAUUAUAAGUAACAGUAUUGUGCUGAAAACCCAAAUCCCUAGCAACCCAUUUGAAAAAGCUGAAAGCUUUUAACGGAUAUCGUACUUCUCUAAUUUCCUUCAACACCCUAAGCACAAAAUUAUCCGACACCACGAGUUUCAUAUCCCCUAAUUGUCUCUCCACCUCAACCCCCCAUUCUUGUUUCGUAAUCAAUCCACACACAUCUUUCACCAAAUCACCCAUAGCAUUGUCUUUAAUCAUCCUCCCAUAAAAAUGCCUCAAAGCAGUAGCAUCAGUUUCCAUUUUCAAAUUCCGAAAAAUAGAAUGAAUCGAUUUAUACGUUUCCUCAUCAAUAUAAAACCCAUUCUCUUUCAUUUCCUUAAUAAUUGUCCAGAAAUCCUUCAUUGAAUCCCUAUUAGCAUAAAUUCUUAGCAUUAAACUAUACAUAGAAGAACUAGGUUGAAACCCCUUUUGCUUAACAACCCAUUUCAAGAAAUCCCCAGCUUUUCUCGGUUCUUUAUCCAGUUUCUUCAAUAAAUACAUAACAGCUUCAUGUUUGAGUGUAAAAUCAAGUUUUCCUAAAUCAUUUUCCAACUGUUUGGACCAGUCAUUGGAUAGUAUAAUGUCGACAAAAUUUUCCGGUGUCGAUGAAAAGAAGAGCGUUUGACUGACAGAGAGAGCACUACUAGUAGUAAAAGGACAGCACGGUGUACUACAAUAGGUGGUGGUAAGGGAAGGAGGAAGGUAAAAGUGGCGAGUCACCUGAUGGUUGAAGGAAGGAGCUCCUGAAAGCUGAGGGUAAAACGGAGAUUUCCUUAAUUGAAGUGAACUCAGAAUUCUCUUGCUGCGAUUCAUGGCUGCUGGAGUACAUUCAAACAAGACACAAAGGAGAUGCAAAACCCUUGAAAACCCCCUUUUUAAUUGCCACUUUUCACUUUUUGAAACACAACUUAAUUAAUUUUAAAACUAAAUUAAAUUAAAUUGAUAUUUUCAAAAUUAUAUAAAAAUUACCCAGCAUUAUAAUUUUAUAUUGAGAAAUAUGUUUUAAAAUAGAGAAAAUGAUUAAAUUUAAAAAAUUGACUAAAGUCUUUUAUCAUAUUUUAGUAUCAAAUUUAUCCUCUAUCUUGAAAAAUUAACUAAAUAUACUUUUCAUUAUAUUUUAAAGCCAAAUUUAUUCAUGAUGUCUUACUUUGGGUCAAAUUUAGUCUCGUUCUUAAAACACUUUUCAUAUGUAUCCUUUUUUAACAGAAAAAACCAAAUCAACGAUAAAUUGUCUUAAAGAAAAAAGUGAAGUGUAUAUUCACUUUAUAAAAUAAAGUGUGUAUUCACUUUAUAAAAGAAAUGUUCUCCCAUCAAAAAAAUAUUCCUGUACUUAAAUAUCAAAGCACUCCUUCACGUGGAUAGUGAGACAACAAUAAGACAAGUCUAGCUUUGUUGUUGUCACUUUCUCGGCUUGAAUUUGAAAAUGAUCUCGAGGUAGAUUAUCUUUUUGAACAAUAUUCAUUUGAAGCUUGAAAAUUAGGGAUAUUGUAAUCCAAAAAUUCAAUAGAAAAUUUUUCUCCUUCCAGACAUAGCUUGAAGACGAAAAUGACAAGGCAGCCAGCUGCGGCUGCAGGUCAAGAAUUACAUUCUGGUUUUUGACAUUAAGCGACCUACGAUAGCAUAUGGUCCACCUACGGUCGCAGAUGAAUUUCGCAGAUAGGUGUCGUAGUGUGAUUGUUUAUGAACCACUGAUUCUUUUCUGAAGUACCAUCUUUUGACUAUAAAUAUUUGACUUUUUUCAAACGUAAAAAUAUGAAAUUUUUGAAGAAAAAAUACUCUCUUCUUCUUAAAAAAUUCAAGUGUGAUUUAAGUAUGCCAUCUUUGCCAUAUUAGGAUAUGAUCCUUUUUUAUAGAUGUAUUCCCUGCGUCCUUUCUAUUGACUUGAUUGAUGAGUGAUGUUUUAAUUUUUAGGGUCUCAACUUAGUUAAAGAUCCCUGCUUACUAACUAGAUGAUCCCUUGCCUCUAUUUUGUUUACCCCUUUUCCUUGAAUUUGUGAUUUUGGUAUGAGAUGAUAAUUAGAAGAGCUUAUCUAUCAUUAAAGGACGGAUUGAUGGAGUUCUUGGUAUUGUUUUAGGUUCUCUAUCCUUUAUUAUGAAAGCAAUAAAUUUCAUUCAUGGUCACUUAACUUUGUAUCUAUUACGCAAAAAUUAUAUUUAUUUCAUUCAUUUCAUCUAUGGUCAUUUAACUUUGUGUCUAUUACACAAAAGUCAUUUUCUAUUAUCCAUUAUACAAAAGUCACUUUACUUUACUCCAGUCAUCACAAAAGUACUAUGGCCAGAUUUUACAAUAAUCCCACAAGAAAAUGAUGUGACAACCUUAAUUAACUUUUAAUUUUAAUUUAAGAGAAUAUAAUAUAUUAUACAAUUUUUUUUAUAUGUGUCCAAACAAAUUUUCCUUAUGAAUUAUAUAAUGAAGAAUAUCAAUUUCUCAAUAGAUUAGGCUACUUAGUGAAGACUAUUUUCACAAAAAAAAUUGAUUGAUAUUUUUAUGACAUAAAAUUAUACUUAUAUAUUCUUAAAAUCCUCUAAAGUCGAGACAUGUGUUGGUAAUUAUUUUUUUCCUCUAAUAUUAUGGCAUGUAGUUGAUAAAAUUAUUUUUUUCAUACAUUCUUUUUCUUGCCACUUGGGUCUUUGCAUUCGGUAUGUCAUAAUAAUAUUAUAAACUACUCUAUUUAUUAAGUUUGUCUUUAUAUUUUUAAUUGUUUGACUAAUCGAUUAAUUCUCUUAAAAAUUUUUAUUAGAAUUUUCAAUUUCUGAUAAAUUACAUGUUAAUUAAUUUAAUUGAUAAAUAUAAAAAUUAGACAUCCUAUAAUUAUUUAUCUAUUAAAGUACUUAUAUUUUAUAACUUUUAUUAACAAAACUGUUAAUAUAACAUUAUUUGAACAAAUUUUGACAAUACUUAUUCAAUGACACGAUUAAAAAGAUUUUAUUUUUUAAAAUUAUCUUUAAAGAAUUAAAAUAAUUAUUUUUUUAAAAUAAUAUCAUACAUGUAUUUCUAUUUUAUGUGUUUUGUAGAAUUUAUCUUGUUUAUCACUUUUUUUGAUGCACCUUUUUGGCAGAUUAAUCCAAUAUUAUGAAAUAUUUCAUAAAAAUAUCAACCAAUUUUUUUUAUAUAUAAAAAUAAUUUUUAUUAGGUAAUCUAAUCUAUUAAGAAAUUGAUAUUCUUUCAUUAAAUAAUUCAUAAGAAAAAAUAGGUUGUGUACUAUAAAAAGGGUUAAGAUAUGAUUAAUAUAUUAUAUAUUCACUUAAAUUAAGAUUAAGAACUAAUUAAGGUUGUCACAUCAUUUUUCCGAUGAAAUUAUUGUAAAAUUCGGUUAUAGUGACUUUUGUGAUGGUCGGAGUAAAAUUAAAUGAUUUUUGUGUAAUGAAUGAAAGAAAAAUGAAUUUUACAUAACAUAUACAAAGUUAAAUGACCAUGAAUACAUGAAUAAAAGAAAAUUAACUUUUACUUAAUAGAUACAAAGUUAAAGUUAAGUGGCAUGGAUAAAUUUAAAAGUAAAGCCUUUUCUCGAGAUCUCUAGCGGAUAAGAAAGACUUCUUCCAUACAUUGCUUCAUUUUGAAAACAGUAGACUUGCAUGGCACAAUAAUGGCCGUAAUAGAGUGAAGGAUUCACGAUUAUGUUACUUUAGCUUGAAUUGAAGUUUGAACAGAUAAGUAAUUGUGCUAAGCUGACACAGUUUCGGUGGUAUGACCAUUCUAUCUAGCCUUUUAUGCUAUCACCCAAAAAAAUUCAAAGAUGGAUCGUGGUGCAAUUUUGGCCCUACUGUUAGUUUUACUGUUUAGUUGUGAAGAAUAAACAACAGAAGAAGAAAAGAUGCACUUUAAUCUAGUAGAAAGGCUUGAAUUGACGGUACAAAUAAGCACUUCUAGCUCAGGUUCUUAAUCUAGUAGAGUAAUGUGAACUAUUCUUUACUUAUAAUAAAGUGUUGUUUUUGGUACAAAAUCCGUAUUUAUAACAACGAACGAUCAAGCUCAAGAACAAGAAAGAGUUCAAAUUAUUUUUUAAAAAAUAGUAAAAAUCAGCUGUCCCAAUCCGAUUUCUCAAGUCAUGAUGGCCCCUACUUUAACCCACUAGUAGGCAAGUCAAGCCAUAGUUCGGAAUGAUAGGUAACAAGCUAAUAGGCAGAGACCAAAUAAAAGAUCACGUAUAAUAAUAAUAACAACAAUAAUAAGUGAAAACUAAGAAGGGAGCAUAUAUAUAUAUAUGACAUUAAGCAUCCAUUUAGCUAAUGGAUGACAUAAGUGUCCACUUAACUUAUCUUUUCUUUAGUGGGUAAUUUUCCCCACCUCUUGAAUAUUAAAUUAUGUAGAACUCAUAAUUUGGGCUAUAAAUAGCCUAUGAUUUGUGAAGAAAUAAAGAUAGAAAACAAUUUUACAUUCUCCAAAUCUAUAUCAUCUUUAGUUUUGUUCAAGUUUACAUAACAGAUUCAUAACACGUUAUCAGCACGAAACUCCCUUAUAAGGUGCGUAUUAUGUAACUAUUUGUUUUCAUACUCCACACACACAAAAAUAUAAAUUAUUAAAGGAAACAAACUUUUGAUAAUAAUCUAUUUACAAUAUAUGAUGCUAUUUAGAUUUAUUUGAGAUGGUUAUCUUAUUUUGAAAAUAUCAUUAUAUCUAACUUAAUAAUCUUUUUAUGAUCGUUUCACUAUAUCAAAUUUAUCAAAACUUGAGUUUGUGGCACUUGACAUUACUUGAAAGAAUUAUUUAUCAUGGGUCCUUGAUUCUGAAAUUCACCUUGACGCUAGAGGUCUUAGGGAUACUAUUAAACAAGAAAAUAACUCAUCAAGUCAAGAUAAGGCAAAAGUUAUGAUUUUUCUUCGUUAUCACCUCCACGAAGGAUUAAAAACUUAAUAUUUAACUGUGAAAGAUCCACUUGAAUUAUGGACCAACUUGAAGGAUCGAUAUCACCACCUAAAAUUGACGGUAUUAUCAAAAGCAAAGUAUAACUGGAUACACCUUCGAUUUCAAGAUUUUAAAAUCGUAGUUGAGUAUAAUUAUGCUAUUCAUAAAGUAAGUUCAAUAUUAAGAUUACGUGGAGAAACCAUCACUGAUGAGGACUUACUAGAGAACUUUUUCCACAUUUCAUGCUUCUAAUGUAUCACUACAACAACAAUAUCGUGAAAAGGGAUUUAAGAAAUAUUUUGAAUUGAUUACAUGCCUACUUAUGACAGAACAGAAUAAUACUUUGUUAAUGAAAAAUCAUGAAGCUCGUCUCACUGGAUCUGCUUCAUUCUCUGAAGCGAAUGUUGUAGCCGCAAAUAAUCAGCCUGAAAUAAGGCAAAAUUAUUAUCACGAUUGUGGUUGAGGCCAUGGCCGUGGACGUGGGUGAGGAUAUGGCAGAGAGAGUAAUAAUUAUCGUCAUAAUAGUGGAAAUAAACAAGAGAAUAAUAAAGAUUCUCAAAAUAAUCCUUCAAAGGGUAAAGUUAAUAUUUGCACUGAUGUGGCAUGAAAGGUCAUUGGGCACGUGCUUGUCGUACGCCUGAUCAUUUUGUCAAACUUUAUCAAGCUUCCCUUAAAAGAAAAGAAAAUGAUGUGGAAGUACACUUGACCUUUCGAGGUAAUGAUGAUGAAGCAGGUCCAUCAAAUACAUAUGAUGAUGUUGAGGCAAAUCUUGCUUACAAUGAUGAUGACUUUAAGGGCCUCUCAGAUAUUACCCAUUUGAAAGCUGAAGAUUUCUAUGAGGACAUUGAUUGAAGAACUAAUCACCUUAGUUGAGAAUAAAUAAUAAAGAAAGUUAUUAUUUUCUUUUAUUUACAAUUAUGUUUUUUCUUUUACUAAAAUACCGUGUGUUUCUGAUUUCUACAUUUGUUAUGUUAGUUUUUCAAAAAUUUUAUAAUAUGUUUUUUCUUAUUUGAAGAAUAUGGAAAUUUCCUAAUCAUCAAUUGGAUCCAAAAUAAGUUAUGAUGAUAUAUGUCUUAUAGAUAGUGUCACCACGCAUACUAUUCUAAAAGAUAAGAAAUAUUUCUCUUAUUUGGUGAUGAAUGAAGCCAAUGUUAAUACCAUAUGUGGUAGUGCAAGAUUAAUUGAAGGCUCCAGAAAAGCUAACUUAUUACUUCCCGGAGGAACAAAGUUGAUGAUUGAUGAAUCAUUAUAUUGUAGUAAGUCUAAAAGAAACUUAUUGAUACAAGUACGAUCGUGAUCAUGAAUAUUUUUUUAGUAUGUUAAAUGCAACCGAGAGAGUGCACAAGUCUAAGUGUGAAGGAAACCCAAAACCGCUCAUAUGGUGCACUCAAUGGGCGCCCAUUUUUGAAGACUAGUCAUUAAAGGGUCUUUUAAUCUCUUGUCUCUUAUUUUUGUAAUGUAAUAUAAAUAAAACCUUGUAGGGUUUUAGUUCCUUAGUUUUUGAAUGUUAUUGAAAGAAACUCCUCUAGAGAGAGUGAGAGCAACCGUAACUAGGGUGAUACUAGUGUGGAAUCACUAGUGUUGCAAAACAUUGUUAGAAACCUUGGUGUUUGAGAGGUGGACGCCCUCUUAUGUCAUCGUAGAGUGUUGGUGUUGAUAUUACGAGUGUUAAGGGUCUUGGUAUUUAAUAUAUACCUUGGUUCUUACUGUUUGUAAUAUUGUAUGUCAUACUUCCUAACUUUUGUUUCUGUAAUCAUUGUACUAGUUCGUAGUUGUUUCUAGUGAAGUCGUGUAUUGUUGUUACAUUGUUCUUGUGUUUCGUUCCUAUUGUUAUCAUCUUGUUCUUCUGGUGUAGCUGUUGUUUUGGUGUUGAACACCUAGUAAUCUUGGGUUCUUAAGUUGUCAUCUUGUAGCCAUUUGGUCUCUUGUACCUUGUGGACAGUUUUGUGCAAUUUGUGGGCUAUUUUGGUGUCUUUCCUUGGUCGUUUUGGUAUCAUUUGGUAUCAAAGCAAGGAUGGUUGUGUUCCUACACUACCAAUCUUGGGCUCUCUUAGUAAAAAAAAUCAAAAAAAUAAAGGAGUAGAAGUUUCUUGUGUUCUUGGCCGAGAGUGUGUCUAGUUGUUGUCUUGGCCGAAAUUUGGAUGCUAGAUCUAGGAGUACUUCAUGUGUUUUGACUGUUCUUAGUGUUGGUUUCUUCUUCCCUAACACUAAUAGAAUCAAGAUCCAAGUUAAACUUUUAUUUGUGCUGUUGUUGUGCAGAUUCAAGGAUUGAUCGAAGUAUUGUUGGUGUCGAUUUAUGGAUCCAAACUUUGGAUGUUUUUGGUGUGUUGUUGUGGAAUCUAAGAUUUGGAGGUGUAUUGUUGGCAUUUUUGUUGUGGAUUUGUGUUUGAAUAGGGGUUGUUGUUGUUGGGAGGUACAAUUUGAACCUUGGUCUUCAAAUCUCUAUUGAAGGUUCUUGAUGUUCUUGAACCAUUUUCAUGUCUUGUGGCAAGAAGAACUUUCAGUAGUGGUGUUUGAUCUUAAAGACUAAUGGAAAGAAGUGAAGUCUCUUGUUUGUCUUGAAACAAGUCCCAAAGUUAUACCAAAGAAGUAAGGGACAAAAGAGCUUUCAAAAAGGCUUGUUGCCAAAAGAGAGAAAGAACUCGUUCCAAGGUUAACAAAAUAGGAAAGGGCCACCAACCCUUCAAAAAGGUGUCUUGCCCAAAAGGUGCAAGACGAGUCAACCCUUUUGCAUGUGAAAAGAGGCUCCAAAAACUUGUUGUCUUCCAUCCAAACCCAAUUUUGCUUUUCCAUAAGUUGGACAAACACUAAAAUUCUCAAGGUCUACAACCAUUCCAAGUCUGCCAUGUCGCUAUCCGCAACCAAUCAAAGGCUUCCACGUCACCCCUUGUACAACUAAUGUGUUUUUUUUUGUUUUGUAGCUAACUUCUUGGCCAUAAUGGAAGCCAUUUUGGCCCCACCUUGAUGCUAUUUCCCUAGAUAUGGCUAAGGCGAAUAUGGGCCUUGAAAAAAUUAGCUCGGAUAUGUCUACUAUACUUGAGAGGUUGGAUCAAGUGGAGAGUCGAAGGGACUCUCGUGUUUCUACUCUCGAACUUUACCUCAAAUGAUUAAUCCUCCAAGACCACCACCAAGUGACAUAGACAUAAACCAAGCCACCAAAUGCCCUCCAACCCGAGACCUAAAUAGGUUACUUCCUCUUCAAUUUGAUCAAGUCCAACAAGAAGGACUUAGAAUCUAAUUUUCUCCCAUCCAAGCUCCACAACCGAAGCUCCACAUUACAAAAAUAAUCCUCUCAACUGAAACUUCACUUCCCCAAAACCGAUAUUUCCAUAUAGAGGAGUAUAGCAGAAAGAAACACGAGGGACAUGGGGUCUACAAUGAUGCUUAUAUGAUGGAAGAUAAGUUGAGGGGAAGACGUAGGGAACCACAAGGAACCCGCCGCCAUGAAAAUAGGUGGGAUAUGUUUCUGAUGAGAUUGAAGACAAGGCUCAAGAUGGAGAGAAAUUCGAGGUUCAAAAUAAAGAUGUUGGCCGAGACUUGUGUUAUUAAUCUCUCGGGUUCCUCAUGUUUUUUGCGGACUUUUUUUAUGCCAUCUUCAUAUUUUUGCAGACUGGUUUGAGUGGUUUAUUUGAAGUACCAAAUUAAAUGAGGUGCGGUCGUGAAUUUGUGGGCAAAUUUCUCUCAAGAUGGAGAGGAUGAUACAAGUACAAUCAUGUUUAUGAACAUUUUUUUAGUAUGUUAAACGUAGCCGAGAGAGUGCACAAGUCUAAGUCUGAAGGAAGCCCAAAACCGCCCAUAUGGUGCACUCAAUGAGCGCCCAUUUUUGAAGACUAGUCAUUAAAGGGCCUUUUAAUCUUUUGUCUCUUAUUUUUACAAUGUAAUAUAAAUAGAACCUUGUAGGGCUUUAGUUCCUUAUUUUUUGAAUGUUAUUAGAAAAAACUCCCUUAGAGAGAGUGAGAGCAACUGUAACUAGGGUGAUACUAGUGUGGAAUCACUAGUGUUGCAAAACAUUGUUAGAAACCUUAGUGCUUGAGAGGUGGAUGCCCUCUUGUGUCAUCGUAGAGUGUUAGUGUUGAUAUUACGAGUGUUAAGGGUCUUGGUAUUUAAUAUAUACCUUGGUUCUUAUUGUUUGUAAUAUUGUAUGUCACACUUCCUAACUUUUGUUCCUGUAAUCAUUGUACUAGUUCGUAGUUGUUUCUAGUGAAGUUGUGAGUUGUUGUUACAUUGUUCUUGUGUUCCGUUCCUAUUAUUAUCAUCUUGUUCUUCUGGUGUAGCUGUUGUUUUGGUGUUGAACACCUAGUAAUCUUGGGUUCUUAAGUUGUCAUCUUGUAGCCAUUUGGUCUCUUGUACCUUGUGGACUGUUUUGUGCGAUUUGUGGGCUAUUUUGUGCGAUUUGUGGGCUGUUUUGAUAUCAAAAAAUCUAACUAAGGAACAAGACUAAGGAAAAUAUUUAAAUAGUUUAUUACAAAAGGUGUUGCAAAAGGACUCCUUUGCCCUUCAUUAGGGUGGUGGGUGUGGAGUGUAUUUGGGGCAUCCUUGGGUGUAUUUUUGAGCACCUAAGGCUAGACCUCAUAUGUUAAGGCGUACACUCCCUUGGACGAGUUCACAACAAGCUCAAAUGCGUCCAUUUUCAUAAACGCACCUUGUAGUCUUUGUAGUUCCCGAGCUUGGACAAGGCUUUGAAAAAGACUUCAAAAGGUCUUCAAUUCACUUUGCAAAUCCAAAACUUGGACCUUCAACAAAAGCUUGUAAUCCUUUUACUCCUCAUGCUUGUAUCAUCCUCUCCAGCUUGAAAGGAAUUUGUCCUCAAAUUUGCACCUUGCAAAACCAAAGAGAGAGAAAACAAGCACACAAUCCUUAUGAUAGGAGGGUUAGUAUUAGUACCACAAAUUAUAUAGACAUGUCAAAGGGGUACACUUUUGGAAUACAACCAACAAUCCUUUAUUAUGAUUAUGAAGCACGUACCACAAGUGUCACAAAGGACGUGACUAAGACAAACGUCAAGGAAAGAGAAGUGCAAUUCGAAACUAUCACAUAUGUCAUCAAGCCAAGGAUGUUCAUAUUUGGAAUAUCCCCGCGGGUCCUUUGUGUGUGACAUGAAAAGCUUAGCCUGAAUGGCACAAAGGAAGUGACUCUGACAAAUAUCAAGAUAUAAGAAAACUACAAUGGUCUUAAUGGCUUUACUAUACCCAAAAGGUAAGACUACCUUUAUCUUAGGACCAUAAGAUACAAUUGUUUUAUUACCUCUACAAUGGACCUCAUCAAAUAUAGUGCCACUAUUGAUCUUAAAAUCCACCUCAACCACAUAUCACCAUCAUGUAAAUAAGGAAACCAGCCACCAAAAUUCCUAUCACUACACAAUACAAAUUCGAAAUUAACAUGGUUAUCAUCAUAGGUAAAGAGGUAGUAUAGAAAGGAAUCAAGUGUGAAGACAUCUUGCCGAGGGGGUACACUUUUAAAAUACAACCAGCAAUCCUUUUUUUUACCAUGAAAUACGUAGUUUGAACAUUACAAAGGAUAGGGAUAAGAUAAUCAUCAAGGAAAUAUAAGCAUAAGCCGAGCCAACCCCUUUCCCAACCCACUAGUGUUCUGGAAUCAAAGGGAUGGUGUAAACAAGGGUAUAAGCCGAGAUUAACCAAUCCUUUUACUAGGAUAUCAUCCAAGACUAAAGAGUUGUGGCCUAGAAGUCUUAUGUUAUGAGCACGCACACCUUUAUUCAAAAUUUUUCCAAGCAUAUGAUUACCUUGAGAAAAACUAGUAGCAUGAUUUGCAUCAUACAAGCUCAGAGGAAUAUGUCAAAUAUCAUGGCCUAUAUUACAAGAAUGAACACUAACUUGAGGAUUUUGAAUCACAUCACUUACAUGAUGAAGUAGUGAACUAUCCUUAAGAGAAAAAUGACCAACAUAUGCAACAAGAGAACUGCCACGGAAAGAUUCGUGCUUUUCUACACUAUGCAUGUAAAUCCGAAGCUACUUCACAUUGGAUACUAAUAUCCUUAUCACAAAAUUUCAAGCCUAAGAAAGUGUAGAUUAUAGUAAUGAUACCUCGGUGUAUGCCACGGCAGUCCACUUGUUGGGAGCUCUCGGCCAAGGGUAUCACUAGCUCAUUUCCCAUGUUAUCGUGCGGAACCCCUUUUUGAUUCUUCUUUGAUAGCAUAUGAACUUGAAUAUGUACAUAAGAAUGAUAAAUGCUAGGCAAAGUGCUAGCAUAUGGGUUAGUGAGUAUCAAAGAUCCUUUGUGGGCAAACACAUUUUUCUUUUCCUUUUCUACUUCACUACCCGCGGUUUCUCUUUCCNNNNNNNNNNNNNNNCCUUGCCCUCUUUUCUUUACAUUCUUUUUGUAUCUCACCACUAAUUUUCUCUCCAUCUUUAGGCUUGGAAUAAUUCUCCUUGGAUCCUAACUCUCUCUCUUUUUCUACUUGGGUGGGGUAUUUUCGGGUUAGUGUAGCUUGGGGAGGGGACAUUGGAUUUAGUAGAGUGUAGGGUCUUUGGACUUGAGGUGUUUGGACUUGUGAAGGUUAAGGCUUUUGGUCAAGUAGGUUUGGAAUGUGGUAUUUUGGAUUUUGACGUAACAUUUGAGUACCAAGUACUUCUUGUUGGACUUUGUUCAAUGGGGAAUAUAUAGGUCUACUUGGCUCUCGGGUUGAUGGACUUUGGUUUUGUGGAUUGGAAUUUAGUGGAGAAGGUCUAUGGAUUGGGGAAUUUUGGUUUGGAUGAUUCGGAUUUAAGGGUGGUUUUUGGGUUCCAAGUCCUUCAUAUGGGACUUGGUGGCAUGGGGAAUGGCUAGGUCCAUCAAGGCCUCGGCCUUGUGAGUAAUAGUUGGCUUGAGGUAUGACAUUUGGUUGAUACAUUCUUUGGUGCAUAGCUUCGGGGGUAAUGGUUAGGGAUGUGUUUUGAGGAGUUGAGGGUCAAGAACUCUAUUGGAUUUCUACCCUUUUCAUUCGACCACUAAUAGAGGCCACUUCCACUCCCAACUUAUCAAGAUCCUCAUUCGCUCUAGCCACAUCCCGAGACAAGGAUUCAAGAUUAGCCAUAAGAGCAUUCAAAACAUUAUGGUCCAUGGUUUAUGAAUUUCAAGUUUUGGGUUACAUGUGUGGUGGUUCCAUUUUCAAAUGUACCUACAGAACAAGCAAACGUUAAUUCAAAAUACUCUCACACUCUUUUCACUCGGCUCCCUCAAUUGGCCCUUCAAGUGUUGUAAGCCGGCUACCAACUUGUGAGUGCUUGGGAAUGAGUCUACUCUUGAGUUAGAAUGGAUUUCGGUUUGGAAGACUCAAGAAAGUUUUGUACGCACUUGAACCAAGAACAACGACGAAUUGUAAACGAGUAAAGCACCACAAGGAACGUUAACAUGAAAGACGUACUCAAAAAUUAGUUCACAACUUAGUAGGUUGUUACUUAGUUGCCAACUAGUGUAGGAUUCAAUAGAAGAAAAUCAAUAAAGACAAGGAAAGAAACUAUGAAUGUCCAAUGACUUGCGUUUUAUUGUUGAUGUGGCCCACAAUUUUUUUUGGCUGUUUGGUGUUGUUGUUUUUAUUGAAGUUUGAUAUUUGUCACUUGAGUUGUUCAAUUUUGGUUUGUGGGUGAUGAUUUUUGGUUUUGGAAUGAGGAAACAAGACUUUGGACUCUCUUUCCAAAGGUCAAAAGGUGUAAAUCAUCUUUUCACCAACUUUCACUAAAAUGGCAAAACACCUUUUUGCCUUGUCUUUGUCCCUUUCCUCUUUUGGCCUUUUUUGAAAGAUGUUUGUCACCCUUUUAGUAACUAAGCUUUUUGGAUUCCCUUUAUUUCUUUACCAAUUUGGUAUUGUCUUGAAAGUAUUCCCAAGAGAAACACAAAUCCUUGUCUCUUUCUUCUCUUUUCAAAAUCAAACAACUCCUUUUAUUGAACACUACUUCAAGAACAAUAUGAACAACAACAAGAACAAUAUGAACAAUAACAACCUCUUCGUCGCCCACCCUUCAACAACACUUUGACAAGAGCUCAAAUCUUGGACUUUAGACUCAAGAGGUGUUAAAGAACAACAAGAUAACACAAGAAACAACUAAGACAACAAAAAUACACCUAAAUCUAGACACAAAUCUCGGCCAAAACAACAACAAGACACAAUUUCAACCAAGAGAACAAGAAUGGACAGAUUUGCUUCUUUUUGGAAUUUUCAAUUUUUCAACACGUAUUUUUUUUAAUUUUUCGACUUAGAGAGCCAAAGAUUGGUAGUGUAGGAACACAAUUAGACUUAGAUCUGAUAUCAAAUGAUACAAAAUCGACAAAGGAGGCACAAAACAAACACCAAAAUAGUCCACAAGUUGAAAGAACCAAGGACCCCUUUGGUGACCACUCUCGGAUUCACUACAACAACAACGAAAACACAAUAACAACAAGAUAUUAAGGUGUUCAACACCUCUAAAAUCAGCGAUGCAACAAACUAGAUUAACAACACAAGCACAAGAAUAAGAAGAACACAAGUCUCGGUUUUGGGACAACAAACCCGAGAAUGAACAACGACAACAAUGAAAUAGAUAGAUAAAUAGGUAACUUGACAUACAAAUGUACAAACACUAUGAACCUAAGUGUAUAUUAAACCCAAAUACCCAAGAAUUCAUACAAGUAAUACCAAUAUCUACGGUGACCUCAAGGGAAUGGGAUUUCCAAGCAACCAACAUUUCAAAACUAGCAUCAACACAAGUGAUAUCCAUACUUGUUUACAAGGAAUCCACCUUGCAAGACUCUCUCUCUAGAGCUGUCAAAAUAUCAUCAAAGUUAUGACAAAAUGACCUAACAUGUUCUAUUUAUAGCCUAGGUUUCAACUUAAUAUAAAAUGACUAGAAUGCCCUUAAUGAGCCAAGACAAAAGGUAGGCCUUGGAGUGUGCAUAUUGGAUGGCUUUGGAGUGUUGGGACUUGUUCUCUACACUUCAAAUCUUGUUCCAUUGGUUGCGCAGCCACCCGAGCUCGAGUCUUUACGUAUUGGUCCACAAUCACGAUCGUACUUCUAUCACUUAUUAAGUUUCAAAGACAUUCGUUAAAAUGGUUAUCAUAUUGAGACUACCAGUGAUGAAAAAAUUAAAUAUCUUUAUAUUACUACAAUAAAGUCGGAUAAUAAAUAUAUAUACUUGAAAAAUUACCUGCUCUUUCUUCCGGCUUAUACUAUACAAGUAUUAGCACUGUUGAAACACAUGUUAUAAUAAAUCAGAAGUUUACUGAUUCAAAUAAUUUUAUUAUCUAGCAUGACCGAUUGGGCCAUCCCGAUUCUAAUAUGAUGCGUAAAAUAAUUGAAAAUUCAUAUGGACACUCAUUGAAGAGCCAGAAGAUUCUUCAAUUUAAGGAAUUCUCUUGUGCUGCAUGUUCUCAAGGAAAAUUAAUUAUUAGGCCAUCAAUAAUGAAAGUGGCAAUUGAAUCCCCUGCAUUUCUGGAACGUAUAUGAGGUGAUAUAUGUGGGCCCAUUCACCCACCAUGUGGACCAUUUAAGUAUUAUAUGGUUUUAAUAGAUGCAUUUACAAAAUCGUCACAUGUGUGUUUAUUAUCAACUCGUAAUUUGGCAUUUGUGAGAUUACUUGCUCAAAUAAUAAAGUUAAGAGGACAGUUUUCAGAUUAUACAAUAAAGUCAUUCGUCUUGAUAAUGCGGGUGAAUUUACAUCCCAGGCUUUUAAUGAUUAUUGUGUGUCAACUUGAAUAACAAUUGAACAUCCGGUUGCACACGUUCAUACUCAAAAUGGUCUAAUAGAAUCAUUGAUUAAAUGCCUUCAAUUAAUCGCUAGACCAAUGCUUAUGAGAACAAAACUUCCCAUUUCAAUAUGGGGUCAUGCUAUUUUGCAUGCAGCAGCUCUUGUGCGGAUAAGGCCCACAAGUUAUCAUAAAGUCUCUCCAUUACAAUUGACUCUUGGUCAAGAGCCAAAUAUUUCCCAUCUAAGAUUCUUUGGAUGUGCGGUAUAUGUUCCAAUUACUCCACCACAAUGCACAAAAAUGGGUCCUCAAAGAAGGCUGAGAAUAUAUAUUGGGUAUGAAUCUCCUUCUAUUAUAAAAUAUUUGAAACCUAUAACUGAAGAUUUAUUUACGAUAAGAUUUGCUGAUUGUAAUUUUGACGAAACAAUAUAUUCAACAUUAGGGGGGAAUAAGCAGUUGAAAAAGGAAGGAAUGCAUUAUUAUUAUCUUACUUAGAUCCUCGUACAAAUAAAUGUGAACUAGAAGUUCAAAAGAUAAUUCAUUUGCAAAAUAUUGCAAAUCAACUCCCAGAUGCAUUUACUGACCUAUAAGAGUUAAAAAAAUCUCAUAUUCCAGUUGCUAAUGCUUUCAUUCGAGUUAAUGUCUCGGUAGGACAAUUGACUACUGCAAAUGAGUUUAAGCCAUACUUAAAACGUGGUAGACCAAUCGAUUUCAAAGAUAAAAAUCCUUGAAAAAGAAGAGGAGCAAAUGAUCAUAAUAAUCAUAAUAUGGAGGAAGCUACUUAAGGAGAGCAACAAGACAUAACAAUUGAUAAAACCUCAAAAGAGGUUCAGGAACCUGAAAAUAAUGAAAAUAGAGAGAUCUCAGUUUGUUAUGUCUCAUCAAGAAAAAUAUAGAAUCGAAAUAAUAUAACUGUCGACAAUGUGUUUGCUUAUAAUGUUGCAAAUGAAAUAAUACAACAAGAUGAAGAUCUUGAACCAAAUAUGUCGAAGAAUGUAGACAGAAAAAUGAUUGGCCAAAAUGUAAAGAUACAAUCAAGAUUGAAUUAGCUUCGCUUAAAAAAUGCAAAGUUUUUGAACCUAUAGUCCAAACAUCUGAAGGUAUAAAGUCAGUGGGGUACAAAUGAAUUUGUGUGCGAAAAAAAAAUGAGAAAAAUGAAGUCAUAAGAUAUAAAGCAUGACUUGUGGCACAAGGAUUUUCUCAAAGACCUGACAUUGAUUAUAUGUAGACAUUGAUUAUAUGUAGACAUACUCUUCGGUGGUGGAUGCAAUCACCUUCAGGUAUCUUACUAAUUUGGCAGUUCGUGAAAAACUUGAUAUGCAUCUGAUGGACGUCGUCACAACCUACUUAUAUAACUCAUUAGAUAGUGAAAUUUAAAUGAAAAUUCCUGAAGGAUUCAAAAUGCCUGAUGCAUAUAAAAAUUCUCGAGAAAAUAAUUCAAUCAAGCUUCAGAAAUUCUUAUACGGAUUAAAACAAUCAGGACGCAAUGGUAUAAUCGCCUUAGCGAAUAGCUAUUAAAAGAAGGGUAUAAAAAUUUAAAAGGUCUGGAUCUGAAUUUGUCAUAAUAGCUGUAUAUGUUGAUGAUUUGAAUAUCAUUGAAACUCCUGAAAAGCUUCCAAAGAUAGUGGAAUGUUUGAAAAGGGAAUUUGAAAUGAAAGACCUCAGAAAAAUAAAAUUUUGUCUUGGUCUACAAAUUAACAUUUUACAAAUAAAAUAUUUGCCCAUCAGUCCACAUAUACUGAAAAUAUUUUAAAGAAAUUUUAUAUGGAUAAAGUAUAUUUAUUGAGUACCCCAAUGAUUGUAAGAUCACUUGAUAUUAAUAAAGAUCCAUUCCGACCUCAUGAAAAUAAUAAAGAACUUGUUGGUGCUAAGGUACCAUAUCUUAGUGCAAUUGGGGCAUUAAUGUAUCUUGCUAGUAAUUCACGAUCAGAUAUAUUUUUGGCUGUAAAUUUAUUAACAAGAUUUAGUUCUUCCUCAAUACGAAGACAUUGGAAUGGUAUUAAGCAUAUAUUCAGAUACCUCCGAGGAACUAUUGAUAUGAGACUAUUUUAUUCAAAUGAAUUCGAGUCAUAAUUAAUUGGCUAUGCAGAUGCAGGAUAUUUGUCUGACCCACAUAAAGGCCGAUCUCAAACAUGUUAUUUGUUUACAUAUGUAGGUACAACUGUAUAAUUGCAUUCAACAAAACAAACCAUCAUUGCUACAUCUUCAAAUCAUGCAGAGAUAAUAGUUAUUCAUGAAGCAAGUCGAGAAUGUGUCUAGUUGAGGUCAGUAACUCAACACAUUCAGAAAAUAUGUGGCCUUACUUUGAAGAAGAAUAUUCCAACAAUAUUGUAUGAAGACAACGCCGCAUGCAUAGCUCAAUUAAGAUGAGGAUACAUCAAAGGAGACAGGACAAAACACAUUUCACCAAAAUUAUUCUUUACUCAUGAUCUUCAAAGGAGGGGUGAAAUAGAUGUUCAACAAAUUCGUUCUAGCGAUAAUCUAGCUGAUAUGUUCACUAAAGCAUUGUCGACAUCAACCUUUGAGAAGUUGAGAUACUAGAUUGGGAUGCGUCGUCUCCUAGUUAUUAAGUGAUGUUUUCAUCAGGGAGAGUACAUACGCUCCACACUUUUUCUCUUAACCAAAGUUUUUAUCCCACUGAGUUUUUCCUGGUAAGAUUUUUAAUAAGACAGCACUCAAAUGUGUAUUCAGUAGAUUUUUCUUUACAUGGUCAUCCAAGGGGGAGUGUUGUGAACGAAUGACAUUAAGCAUCCAUUUAGCUAAUGGAUGACAUAAGUAUCCACUUAGCUUAUCUUUUCUUUAGUGGGUAAUUUUCCCACCUCUUGAAUCUUAAAUUAUGUAGAGUUCAUAAUUUGGGCUAUAAAUAGCCUAUGGUUUGUGAAGAAAUAAAGAUAGAAAAUAAUUUUACAUUCUCCAAAUUUAUAUCAUCUUUAAUUUUGUUAAGUUUACAUAAUAGAUUCAUAACAAUAUUAUAUAUAUAUAUAUAUAUAUAUAUAUAUAUAUNNNNNNNNNNNNNNNNNNNNAGAUAUAAAAAAAUAUUAUAUAUAUAUAUAUAUAUAUAUAUAUAUAUUAUAUUCAACCGGGAGAAGGAAAAAGGAUCAAUUUAUACAAAUGAAUCUCUCUCAAAUCUUUAUAAGGUCAGUACUAGAGCCGCUACUAACAAGUACCCAUAGUAUUAGAUAAAAAUCUACAAUGUACAUAAUAUACACAAACAGUCUCGAGUGCAAAAGACUAACUAGAGUAGAUAGAGGAGGAUCAGCCACGAACGACAGCAAGCUCACCCUAUUCUGAAUCUGGAAGGUAGGAACUACGUCAACAUCGACUGCUAGUACCCGGAUCUACAUCAGGAAAAAGGAUGCAGAAGUGCAGUAUGAGUACCAAAAAAAUGGGUACUCAGUAGGCAUCAUCGGUCGAUUAAGCUUAAUACAGAAAAGGUAUAACUAUAAUGCGAAGGCAUAAUCUGAGUCAUUAGUAAAUAGGGAUAGAAAGGUAAGCAACUACCAAGCUACGCAAUGGCUGUAAAGGAAAAUUCUUAAGUGAUACAGAAAAAUAAAUAAUGCAGUAAUAAUAGACAAAUCAAACAUAACUUAACUGGGCCCCCAUAAGCCUGUUAGGUGCACUGAAGAAAACAAUUAACCCAACCGUACCCCCAUAAGCCGGUGGGACACACAAGUAAUAAAAAUAAACAUAAAUAAUCUAUAAUUGCGCUGAUCCCAGUAAAUCAUGAUAGUCAUCCAGAUGUACACCGAACUCGAACAGGUACUAAUGGGUAGUAACGAGAGGCCAGGAACGAGACUCGAACCAAUAGUAAUGGAUAAUAAUAAGGGGACAUGUGCCAGAUUCGAAUCAGACAUUAUGGGUAAUAACCAUAGGCCACAUAUAUAACAUACAACAGCUCUCAUAGUCAGAUGCCGAAGUCGAACCGCAACUCGGAGGAAUCACAACCAUAAUCAGAUGGCGGACUCAAAUCGAAACUCAUCGUAACAAUAAUAAUCAAAUGCCGAACUCGAAUCAAAACUCAUAGUAACAAUAAUAAUCAAAUAUCGGACUUGAACCGGAACUCAGUAAUAAUAAUAAUCAAAUGUCAACAUCUAAAUAAUUAUCCGUCAAUCUUAAUUAGAAAAUGAUAAAUUUAAGAUUUUGGAAUUUAGUUUCACGUUCUAAAGUGAUAGAUGCUAUAUUAUAUUAAAAGAUAAUAUUUUAAUAUUUACUAGAACGGGGUCCUAAUUCGAAUAAAUAAGACAGUUUAUAUAAAUCAAAUAAAUACGCAUCUACAAACUUCUAUCCAAAGCUAGCAUAAUAGUUUACAAUUUCAGUAAAUAAACUCAAUCUAAAGGUAUAAUAAACCUAGCUUACCUGCACGCCAAAGCUAUAAUAUCUUUCCCCAAAGCUUUCAUAUAGUGCUACUAAAACCAAGUUUGGAUAAUUGAUUUGAAUAAUUAACUUGAACUCAAACAGGACAUUCAAGUAAGCGGGAUGGAAUUAAUACAUGACAAGCAGCCAAGAUAUCUCAGAUAUCACAAAACUUAGGUGAAUUAGAUGACUAAACAAUCUUGCAAAGAUCAGAAUUCUAAGGAAAUCUCAAGACCAAACUUAAUGAUAUAUAACUGCAAAAGUUGGAUAAACGUUGAUCCCAAGGUCACAGAAUAUUCCAACUAUACUUAAAUUAAUUCAGUAGCAAAAUUGAUAAAGAAGCCAACUAUCCACGUGUUAUGGCAUUGACCACAAUUAAUAAUUUUUUAUUCAGAUAUUACAUAAACUCGUGAUAAAAUAAUUAUAAUAUUUUGAAUAUAUCAUAAUUAAUAGAAAACUAUUUUUAACAAAACCUCUAUUAUAUAAUAAUAAUAAUAUUUUAAUAUUUUUAAAUUUACUUCUCGUCUUAAAAUAUGAAUAAAUCAUAAAAGUUUAUUAUAAAGUGAUAUAAAUUUAUCAUCACUUAAAAAAUUUUAUCAAUAUCGAAAAUAUUUUAGAAGGAUACUAAAUUAUAUUUCUACCAAAUGUCAAAUUAAAUUAAAUAAUAGAUGAUACAUUUAGAUAGUACUAAAAUUAUAUGAAAAUACAGGAAAAUGACUGUAAGGGUCAUUAUACCAACGUUUAGAAAGAGAUAAAAAAAAAGAAUCAAGUCUACCGAAUUUAUGGUGUGUUCUUAAGUAAUUUAUUCCCCUCAAGUAUUCGAGGUUAAUGAAAUAUAUCCCCCCCAUAAUAAUGAUUCAGUUCAACAAAUAGUGAUACCUCAAUUUGUUAAAUAUGAACUCACUCAACAUUGCAGAUCACACGAUUUUUUUCAAGAAAAAGAGCCCCUUCCAGCCCCCACACCCCAUCCAAACACACUUCCAGCCUCCUCCCUCUCACACACACGUUCAUUUUUUUUUUUAAUUUUAAUUUUUCCUCUCAAUUCAAUUCCUUUCAUUUUUUAAUUAAAAUUUAAAUUUGAAAUAUUUUUAUUUUUUGGGGGAUUAAAAUUUAAAUUUAAAUUGAAAGUGAAUGAUAGUGAAUAUUGAAAAAAAAUAGUGAAUUUCGCUUAAAAAAAUUAAACUUUGUGAAUUUGUUAAAAAUAUUCAAAUUUUAAAAUCAAAAAUUUAUUAUGUUUGUUGUAUGAAUUUAUAGUAAAAAAUUUAAAUUAGUUGGAGAAGAAUUUUAAUUAUUUGGAAUGGAUUUGAUGUUUAAUUUGUGAGCAAAAAUAAAAACAUAAUUAUUCAAUUUUUUUUACAAUUUAUAAAUUUUCUUAUUUAAAUGAAUUAAUUUUAAUAUUUAAUUUGUUGUGUAGCAUUAUAAAAAUGACUUGAAAUUUAAUGUAAUAUUUUUUUUAUUUUUUAAAUGACGUGGCAGACAUGUCAGCCGUGUCAGGCGUGGCAGCUGACAUGACAGCUGAUUUGGAGGAGAGUGUGUUACACUCACCAAAAAAGAGUUUAAAAUAUUGUUUUUUAGUGGGUUCAGGGGUCCAGGUGACAAACAUGUAAGUAGAAGUGUCCACUUUACAAAACCGACAUAGUACAGGGGUCCAGAAGGUCAUUUUGCCUAAAUUUAAUGAUAUCUAACUUUAUUACGAGAUUUCCUAAGCCAUAUCUAACUAUAUUAAUAAAUUUUCUCUACAAUUUUGUUUAAUGAUCUCUUUUACUAUAUAUCUCUUGUGCCAUCAUUAAAUUCGCUAAGAUGAAUCUACAUUAAAUGAAAUCACUUUGCUUUACAGAAUGGUUUGCCUGAAUAGGACGAUUAAGCUAAGAAUUAUUUGAAAAUUGUUCGAAUCAAUUUCUCUGAAUAUAAUUUUUUUUUAAGCAAUACGAUCCGCCAGGGUGUGUAAAAAAUUUGAAAAAGAUUGUAGGUGAUCUGGACUAGUUUGGAGUAAAAAACAUAGCUAAAAUUGAGUUAAAAAAUCUUUGCGCACAUGUCAAAAGCUACGCAUGGAGUUGGGACUUGGCUAUCAGGUAUGUAGGGUGUUUUCAAAUUUAGGGUUAAAAUUAAGAGUAAUAUUAAAGUGGUUAAGUUGAUAGGUUGGGUGAGGAUGAAUUCUUUUUAAUGGAUAAAAAAAAUUAAAAAAUGAUGUGGACCUCUAAUAAGAGGUCACAUGGCAAAGCAGUUUUUAGAAAACCAUCACUAAAAAGUAAUAGCAUGGAUGAACCGAUUUUAUAACGGCGAUGGCAUGAAUGAGCACAAUUUUUAACGGAUGACAUAAAUGGAUCAUUUCUGAUAGUUCAGUGGCAUAUUUGAGCAUUUUUCCAAAAUUAAUAAUAAUUUUUUAUUGGCCCAGUAUAAUGUAGUAUAUGUCUAUUAUCAGUAGAAUAAAUGAAUAUGAGGGACAAAAUGGUUCAAGAUAGUUGCAGGGAAUAACAAACCAAGACUAGUAAACAGUCAAUUAAAAAUUUCACAGCAGAGAUAAAUUCGGUCAAAUCUCAACCAAAACCCAGUAAGACAAACAUCAACUUGAAACAAUAUGAUGAAGCAAACUAUGACAUCACCCAAAACACUUAUUCACGCUAAAAAAUUUAUAAAAAAUUGAUCAGAUCUGACCCCUUUAUCAGUGUUAUAGCAUAAAAAUAAAAGAGAGAGGGGCGAAAUGGUUGGAGGCUGCCAUGGCUGGUGGUUUGAGCCUUCACCAGCCACCACCUCCGGUGAAAGGCGACGUUAGAAAGGGGGAGGCCACACAGUUGACGGGUUGUCUCCGGUGGUGGAAGCAGUGACAGAAACUAGUGGUGUGCAGAUCUGGGCGUAGAGAGGUUGUCGCCGGUCACAACCUCCGGCGAACAGCGGCGCGGAGGAGAGACCAAAAGGAGAUGAGGACGGCGGAAAGGGGAGGAAGAGAGGAGAUUUUUUUUGAGAAUGAGAUAUGUCUGAUGCAUUAUUUGUGUGUAUCCCUUUUUUUUUAUGUGAGAAUGAGAGAGUUUAUUUAGAGAGAAAGAGAGAGAGAGAAAGAAUGGAGGAGAGCGUCUAGAGCUUGUGUCUGUGUUGUAUGUAUUUUUGUCAGAGAAAGAAUAAAUUCUUUUUUUUUUGUGGCUUAAAGAGCGUCCUGAUAUAGUGUGAAUGUGAAUUUAAAAGGGAUAAUUACAUAACUUAGUCAAUAUUGACUUCUAAUUACUUUAUUUAGUCUAGUUUCAAUUAAUUACAAUUCAUAACCUCCUAUUGUCUAUUAAUUUUUCAUAAUUAUAAUUCACAGCCUCUAUCAUGUAUUUUUCCUUUUUCUUUAUUUUCUAUUGCUUUCUUUUUUUUUUCCUUUUCAAUCUUUUCCUUCAUUUUUUUUUCU